rnacentral:lncRNA from 1 species
AUGACUAGAAUGAUAAAAUAAUGUAUAAAACCUUUUUAAGUUUGUUAUGAUGUUAACCCAAUUUGCCAAUUGAAGAGAAAAUUGAAAGAGCUGAGUUAAGUGUUGACCAUUUUGUGAAGUUCAUAUGGUAAAAACAAUGUAGAUAAGUAAUUAGCAGUAAAAAACUUACCUGGUAGGGAUGGGAUACUCAGGCAAGAACUUGGCUAGGAUCUCUACCACCUCUCCACGGUGGAGAACGCUCUCGGCGCAGAGGUAUCGGCCUGACGCAGAGGGAUUCUCAAAGACAAGAAUGUGCGCUAAGGGCAACAUCUUGAACAUGAACAUAGGCUUGAACUGAAUUGGCAUAGGAGUCUUUGCUGAGCCGGGGUUAAGUACGUUGAGGAUGGUGAACAAUGCUAGCAGGUUUACAAGUUGAUUGGCGCAAUGGACCUAAAACCGAAAACUGGGGCUUCACCACAAGGUCCACCCCUUUUCCUUGGCUGUUUUCCCAGGCUGGCCUGCUCUGCCACAGCCUUCCCGUAACAAUACCAAUCUGCCAAUUUUGUUAGUGAGAAUGUGCCAAUCAUUGAAUCCAUGUUUUAUUGUAUUUUCAAAAUUCUAGGUACUAAACGGCUAUUAUUCGUUUCAAAAAUUUCAUAGCUCUAAUAACUAAAGACCAAAAUAAAACAUACAAGGAAAAUGUAAUAAAAAUUUAUAUAAUAUAUAUAUAAAAUAUUAAAAAAUAUAAAGUAGUAUAGUGAUUUUUUUAUUCCAAAUAUAUUUUUUCACUGCAAAGCUGAUUGUUAUUUGUUGUUACAGUUGCUGUCGUUAUUUUUAUUCAAAACUUAAUCAGGUUGUUAAUUUUGGGGGAGGAAUUUGGGGUUUGGCAUAAGUAAUUAGUAAUUACAGCCAUAAGGAAGAAAGAACUAAUGUGACCUUGGUAUUCUUGCAGAACUCCAGGUCACUCCAGCAGGACUCAUCGACCACGACAUCAGGACUUCUAUUGGGGUCCAUGUACACGGCACCAAUCGAAGACGUGAACACCACCCGUCGAACCUUGGCCUCUGCCGCUGCCAUUAUCAAAUUCUUAGUCCCAUUCACGGCUGGCUCCACCAUUUGUUCCUUUCAAUUAAUAAAAAAUCAUCACUAUAUAUCAUAUCUCAUUAACACAAACACAAACACGAACAAUUUGCAACACACAUAUCGCGUAUCACAAUUUUUUCUCAGGUAUCAAUAACAAUCAAGUAUAUAUAUAAAAAUAUUACUUCUUAAAGAAAAAAAAAACAUUGUUUACAAAAAUAAUCAAAACCAAUAAUUUUGAGUUUGUAAAGAACUUCUAGUAUUUAGUUACUAAAUUUUUUUUUUUUAUCUUGAAGAGAUAUUGAUCUAAUUUAAAUUAUAAAUUAUAUAUUUAAUAAAUCUUUUACGUAUUAUCAAAAUUUUGACAUAAACAUAAAAAUCUUUUGAACUAAAAUUAAAUGAUCAUUCAAAUUUAUAUUGUUUUGUUGUAAUUAAUUAAGUUAUCAAAUAUUUAUUUUACCAAUUAAGUCUUUAUUAAAUGAAAUUCAUUUAACCGCAAAGACUAAUUUUCAUCCAAUCAAUAAUUUAAUUAAGUAAAAAUAAAUAUUUAAAGACUUAAUUAGAUAAAAAUAAAUAUUUGAGAUCUCAAUUUAUUAUAAUAAAAUAAUAAAGAUUUAGAUAAUUAUUAAUUUUUAUUUAAGUGUUUUUCUUAUAUUUAAGUCUAAUUUUUUAUUGAACUUUAUCCACCUUUCUAUCAAAUUUUAAAUUUAAAUUUUUAUUAAAUUAAUUUUAAUAAAAAUUUUCAUAAAUUUCAUCCAAAAGAAAGAAUUUUGUGUAAUUUUUUUUAUAAUACACGAAUAUCGUCAGAUUCUUCUAAGUUGUAUCCAUUGGAGGCUGGCCCACUAUGCCAUUGUUAAAGCUGCACUUUGACAACAGGACCCACCAUAUGACAAAAUUUGUUAGUUGGAAAGCAUUAUCCAAAAAACCUCAUGAAAAUACAUUUCAACUUGGUCUUAGGUGAGCUGUGUCCUUCAACUUUUUGGACAAAGAGGAAGUAAAGUUGAUUGAUCUUUUCUCUCCGAACUUUCUCUAGAACCAAAUGGGAUCAUCAGUAAAAGAAAAGCAAAUUAAUUAAAACAUUAACAACUUACAGGAUCAUCAGUCACAGGUGAAGCUGUGUGGAAAACUCCAUCACAACCAAUAAUGGCUUCUUUAAGAGACUCGUAAUCAAGAAGAUCAGCUCUGUAAAGAGUUAGUCUCUCAUUUGCUCCUUCAAGCUCUCUCAGAUGAGCAUUCUUGGGAUCAUCUAAAGAAAAACCCAACUUCCAGAACGUGUUCAUAAAACCAUUUAACAGAAAACAAAUACUAACAAGAAAUCUCUCCUUAGUCUUUACAUACAUAAAGAAAGAGAAACCAACCUGGGUUCCUUACUGUGCCUUUGACAGUGUAACCUUUUCAAGAAGAAGCUUGACCAUCCAGGAGGCGAUGAAGCCACCAGCGCCGGUGAUACAGACGGUUUGGCUACAAGGGGAAGAGCUGUCAACUAGCAUAUUUCGUUUAUGGGAAUUUGGAAUGUUGUUGGGUGAUGAGAUUCUAAUUUUUUUGUGAAAAUUUGUCAACGUAACCGUCUUUUUUUUUUUUUUUUUUUCUUUUGAUGCUGUGGUUAUUCUUGUUUGGGAUGGCACCGAGGUUUGUAUUUAUAGGGCAAAAAAUGACUACCUUACCUACCGCGCGGCUUGUGAAUAAAAUUAGAAGGGAAGGUACGCUAAAUAUCCUAAUUUUAAUACGACAUGACGUGAUAUACAAAUGUAAAAAAAAAAAAAAACAGUUUUAUAAUUUAACAAUUUUAAUAAAAAUUAAAAAUAUAUAUAUAUAUAUUUAUAUUUAAUUAUACAGAUAAAAAUUAUGAUAUGAUGAUUUUUAUAUUUUACAUAUAUUUAAUAUAAAACAAACACAAUACAAAUUAUCAUGUCAAUACAUUCCUAUGAACAUUUUUGUUUUUAUAAUUUCAUUUUUAAUUUGUACAAAAAAUUAAAAUUAAGAAGUGACUUAAUAGUCUUGCUUUAUUAUAUAUUUUGUCAUUAGCUUCUUAGGUGAUAUAUAGUAAGUUGUUUUUGGUGCCACUCUGCUUUGGUUUCACUUGUGAAUUAUAUUAUUAUUAUUAUUCAAAAUUUAGGUAAUAAGCUUUAUCUAGGCUUAACUAAACCUUUUCUUUAUAAUGAAGAAAAUAGUACAAGGGUAUUAUGGAGUAUAUUAUGGAGUGUAAUCCUUCCAAAAUUCAUCUCCUAAUUACAAUUUCCACAUUUCAUUCAUAUAUACUUAACACAUACUUAACAAGAUUAUGUUGAAUUUUGAACAAAUUUUUUAAAAAAAUUAGAUCAAUAUAUAUAAUAUAACCGUCCCGAUCUUGAACUUUGAUUCAAAUGAUCAUGUCUAAAUAUGAAAUAUAAAAUAUUUUUUUUAUUAAAUUUAUAUAUAAUUAUUAUUAAAAUUUUAAAUCGUGUAAUUUUCAUUUUUUUUCGUAUCAUAUAACCUUAUCAUAUUUAAAAUUAUUGAAUUUAAUCAUGUUUUCACUUACAAAAUAGGAUUUUUUUUGUACAAAAAAUUUAGGGGUAGAUAAAUUAUUCAAUCUCUUAGAUCAAGAUAAAAUAUAUCAUACCUAAUAACCUAAAACAAAUGGUUAUAAAUUGUGCAUCUGAGAUGAUCCCAACAAACAGUCAUUAAUAAUAUUCAUAUUCAAAAAUUUUUAUCUAAAAAAAUAAAUUUUAAUCAAUUGAACCAAUCACUUUUUAAUUACAAAAUAGGAGUUGCUAAUUGUAUGAGGUCCACACCUUAUUGUCGAUGACCUUUUCCCAAAUCCCAACCCUUUUCCUUUUUUUUUUUUUUAACGAUUUCCCUCUAUUUUUUUCAAUAUCAAAUACAUAUUAGCAUCCUUUCAACCUUUUAUUUUAUUUUUUAAAAUAAAUAGCUUUGAUAUAAUUUAGUAAAGAGACGAAAGAUUUGAACGUUGAAAGGUUUUUUUAAAAUUUAAAAUAAUCCAAUAAGGCAAAAAAGUAAAAAACUUAUGGAAAAGAAGAUAUAUUUCUAUUACCCGAAGUUGAUAAUUAUUUAUUGAAAGCCGAUCAAUGAAAAUAAUAUUAGGCUCUCAACAUUUGUUAGUCACAAAUUAAAAAGACGGGAAUUGUACUUCUUGACAAACAUAUAUAAGAUAAUGCUUAAUAAAUUCGUUUUUGAUAUAUUAUCAAUAUAAUUUUUUAAUUACACAAAAGGAUAUUAUCUUAAUUUAAUAAAGUAUUUAUUUUGUAAAUAUUAUAUUAAUUUAAUUUUUUGUUAAUCAAUUUAAAUAUUUUAUCGUAUUAAAAAAAUAUUAUCUCAAAUUUAAUAAAUACUUAAUUUUUAUUAUUUUAUAUUUAAAUUAAAUCUCUUUACUUAUAACUAAUAGAUUUUACAUUGAAGCUUAACAUACUGAAGCAAAUUUUAAUAUUUGAAAUGUUAAACAAUCCCAAUUAAUACUCCAAAGGCAUUUAAUUUAUAAUAAUUUUGGUUUUAUUUACACAUAAUUGACAAUAUCAUUACUUUUUUUCUCUCAACUUUUGGAUUUGGAUCAUUUAAUUUAAUAUAUUGUGUUAAAAAUUUAUUAAGAACAGUAUAAAUGGGUAGAGAAAGAUGAUGAUGUAACUGAUGAAGAAGUGGCCUGUAUCAGACAAAAAAAAGAAAAAAAAAACCAAUAGGUGCCAAGUAUCAAUCAUGAGAUGGCACUACACAACAAGAAUUGAACCAUAAACGUUUUAUUCAUUCAUAAUUCCUAACAAUGGCCCAACAUUUUGACUUUUUUUUUUUAAUCUUGGUUUUCAAUUCCUAAGUUAAGAAAGUCUUGAUUUUGCUUGGGCCUAUAACUAUACAAUGAAAGUAACCUACCAAGGAAAUAAUAAACUUGUCCUUUUAUUGUAGACACCAAUUUUGAUUAACUAAUUUUUUUAUAUAUUAAUAUUAAUAUUGAUAUUAUUAUUAAUCUUUAAAAAAAAGGAUAAAAUGUAAAAAAAAUCUUUGAUUUCAAUUUUGACAGCUGAAAUCAAACUGCCAGAGUGAUCCAUCUUUCUUUCUGAUACUGUCUAACUUGAUAACAUGAAAUUCGAUGACUAAAAGUCACUAGAUAGACACUCAAAUUUUUCACAAAAAAUUUGAAGAGAUAUGAGAUUUGAAAUCUCAAAAGCUCUAUAAAUAGGAGCUAAGUUCUGUAGGAAAAAGGACAGAGGGGAACAGAAUUAAAGAAAAAACCAACAAUCAUAAUCCUUUUUGACAGAGGAACCAACAGCAAAUAAAAAAAAAUUAAAAAAAAACACCGAGAAUGAAAUUCUUGAUCUAGAAAGUUUGAGAUUUUUUUUGAAAAAUUUGGGCUUGGAAAAGUAUUUAGAAAGUAAAAAGAAUCACUGGAGGAAUUUUUAGAAUAUUUUUAGGUCACAGAAAUUUGAAAAAAAUUAAAUUUUUUGACGACUGGUUGAAUUUUUCGACCACCAAAAUUUGGAGAAGAGGCCAGAAUUUGGGAUUUUUUUGAAUUUUCUUACGUAGUUGAAAUUUCCAACCACUGGUGCACCAUGGCAAUCAAUCAAAAACUGGGUAACUACGACGGCCGACAAGAAGGGUUGACUUUUUAGAAAGAAAGGCUCUGGGGUAGAGAGAGAAGGGAAAGAAAAAAAAAAUCGAAAACAGGCUUUUUAUAAGCCCUUCAAAAUGACGUUAUUUUAGGCGUCUGAAUCGAGCUUGACUCGCGCAGGAUUUGUGUGUUAACCCGCGAGCGACCCGACUCGUUUCGCAGGUUUUUCUUUUUCUUUUUAUUUUUCUAUUUUGAUUUUGAUUUUGAUUUAUUUUAUGUUGAUUUUUAUGUUAUUUUUUAUGAUAUUAUUGUUAUUAUUAUUAUUGUUAUUAUUAUUUAAAAAUAAAUAAAGUAAAAAAAAAACAAUACUAAAAUAAAAAUAUGAACCUACAAAAUAUGAUAUGCAAAAAAAAAUUAAUAAUAAUAUCUAUUUAAAGAAAAUAAAAUUUUAUUGCAAGCAAAAAGGUUAUUUAAAUUUCACUGAAGUAUUGAGAUAAUUUUAAAAAAUAAUUUUUGCUAAAAGAAUAAUAAAUUAUAAAAAAUGAUAAAUAAAAUAAAAGAAUAAAUUGUUUAAAUGAAUCUUUUAAAUGUAAUUGUUAAAGAAAGCUGAAGGAAUUAAGUUUUCUUUAAUUGUUGCAAGUAAAAAUAAAUUUUCAGAUUUCACUAUAGAGUUAGGAUAAUCUAAAAUUAUUUUUACUAAAAUAAAGAUUGAUUUAGACAAUGUAUAACAAUAAUAAAAGAUAAAAAUGAAAAAAUAAUAAUAAUUGAUAUUUUGAAUAUUUAAAAAAUAAAAAAUUAAAAGAGCUCGAUUUUCUUUAAUAUAAGUAAGAUAUUAAUAUUUAGAUUUCACCGGUGAGUUAGGAUAAUCUAAAUUUUUUUUAUAAUAAAAAAAUAAUAAUUUUUUUAAAAAUAAUCAUAAUAAAGAUUAAUUAAUUAAUUAAUUAAUUAAUUCCUUUAACUAUAAAAAAUGAUUUUUAUUUAGGAUCUUGUCAAAAAUUGAGAUAAUCCUAAAACUUGUUCAAAAUUUUAAGAUUUUACCGAAGAGACUGGAUAAUCUUAGAAUUUACCAAAGAGUCGGGAUGUUCCUAAAAUCCUUUUUAAAAUAAAUAAAUGAAGUAUUUUCUAAAUAGAUAUUUUCUAUAAAUUUUGCCAAAGCGUUGGAGAAUUUAUAGAAUACGAAAUAAUAAUAAUAAUGUUAAUUUCAUAGCAAAGAAAUAUUUUUAAAAUAAAUUUUAGAGAAUUAAAUUUAAAUAUAAAUGACCACAAUAUCAAAAUUAAAGGAUUACACAUGUUUAAUUGGUACCGUUCUUCGAAUGAGCGACGUGAGGGUACUAAUACCUUCCUUACUCGUAAUCGUAUUCCCAGAUCUAACCUUGGUUUCACGGAACUAAACUUCUUUUAAUAAAUCUUAACUAAUUUUGAGAUUUUUAUUAAAAGAUGAUUUUUUUGGGUGGCGAAUCACACCCUUUACAAAUAUUGGUGGCGAUUCCGAAAAUUUGCACCAAGUCUAGCGAUCGAGUUCCCUUGGACGAAAAAUCAUUAUGACAGCUUGGUAACUUCGCUGGGGACCCUUGAGAGUCAAGCAAAAAAUUAAACAUGCGUCAUCCAAAUUUUGAUUUCAUGGUCUUUUUGAUAUUUAAUUCUAAUUUCUUACCUCAUCUUAGAAUAUUAAAAUUUUUUUGUUUCAUUUAGUUUUGAUAUGUUAUUAUUUUAUAUUAUUACUAACUAUAUUAUUAAUAAUUGUUACAUUCUCUCACACACGUGCACAUUUGCAUUCAUGCACGAGCUCUAUACCCGAGCUCCCAAAUCUAUCUUUUUAUAAGGGGGAGUAGAGUACCUACGCUUUUGUGAGAUUAUAAUGCCUUCGCUUGGGCUAGCGAAAUACUUUUACUCAAGUUGAACCCUUUCUGUUGGCAGCCCGUAAUGGGUGAAGAUUAGGGCCUUACUAGUCUAGAGUGGACGACAGUAAGGAUUAAUUUGGGAAUCUUUUUAGCCUGUGUUAAUUACCAAACUAUGCAUAUAGUGAACCUUAAGAAACCAACCUUAGAUAGGGCUAUACCAUUUUUGUAGAUUAUACCCUAAAUUAGGACACAUGAAGGAAUAUUUAUUUUAAUAUGAUUACUAACCCUAUUUUGUUUUGCUUUCCUUUCAUUUCAUGAUCAUGCAUCAUCAUAAACACUUGCAUAUGGAAUGUGCUUAUCAAUAUGCCAAUAUCAGUAAGAAGAUUUUCAGUCUUGCUUUGGAAACACUAUUAUGAUGUUCUCAGCUUUGAAGCUCACCGUGUGUGAAGAGACCAAUAUGGUGAUAACUCUAUCAUUAGAAGCCUAAAGUAGAAUGGGAAAUUGUUUAAAAGAACUUGAACAAGAAAUUUUUUCUGAAGAAAUCAAAUUGAGACUUCAACAAAAUGACAUAUCUGAGUUGGUCGAGAUCUGGUGCUGUGUAACCACUUAUAGGAAAUGGCUUUUGAGGAAAAUUAUGGUCAUAUUGUUUCACUGUUUGAGGUGUCUACAAAAAAUCAGUUGAUAAAGGCUUUAAUUUAGUUUUGGGACCUUACAUACAGAUUUUCAUAUUUAACGAAAUAGAUAUGGCUCCAACGAUCGAAGAGUAUACUACAUUGUUAUGGUUGCAUAUUUCUAAUCCAAAUAAAAUCUAUUGAUGAGGUCAAAAACUUGGAUCUAGAAAGAAACUUCGCUUGUAUGAUGGAGGUUCUCACUCAAAAUGUGAACUCAUAUAUCCAAACAAAAGGCAAAAGUGAUUGCAUCUCAUGGGAAAUCUUACGUGAUUACAUCAUCAAACAUUUAAAGGAUGAACGAGGCAUGAGAAUGAUAGCUUUGGCAAUUUAUAGCUUGAUCAUUUUUUUCAAAGGUCCUGGGGCACAUUGAGGUAUCCGUGAUUGACUUUCUCGAGCAAGUGGACAAUAAAAUCAAUCAUGUUCUUUCUAUACUAGCAGAGACCUUUAGAUCAUUGAAUCAUUGUCAAAGAAAAGGAUAACGCUUCAUAGGGUGUGUACAAUUAUUCUACAUUUGGGCAAAAAGUCAUCUUCAACAUCUCGUGGGUAAAUUUCAUCCUACUUAUAGUAAUAAAAGUAGAUCAAUUGAAGAAUGCUGCAAUAUUGAAUGGUCAGAAUCAAAGGCUAAGGAAGAAUGAGUAUUGACUUUGCAAUAUCUCACUAGUGCUUAGGUUAUAUGUAGAGCUCCGUGGAUGCUAUGAGAAGCCAUGUUAUACAAGCAUGGUGACAAGCCAUGGGUUCCACUUUUAGGAUUGUGGGGAGGCAUAAGCUAUGCUCCGGCACUGGUUCAUCGAUAAUUAGGGUCAGAGCAAUGACUCAUGGGCUUCAAAAAUUAGAAUUCUCUUUUGAAGAAUCGAGAUUUUUGGGAAAGGUAAAAGAGAUUAUCAGAGGAUAGAAACAGACCUGAAAAGUAAAGCAUGAGGGAUAUAUAGACAAAACCAUACCUGAAUAUAUGAUAUGAAGAAGUUAAUGGGUCACAAACAAAGUUGGUCCCAAAGAAAAUAAACCAUGCUGCUAAGAAGACACAUAUUGUGAAAAGAUUCCUGAAGAUAUAAAGACUAUGAAGUGUAAAUUUGAAGAAGAAAAAAAAAUAUGGGAACUUGAAAAGAGGAGGCUUCAACAUGAGAUUAAUGAGUGAAAAGAUAAGACUGAUAAAAGUGUAGCAAAAUGCUGAAGGCUUGAAAGAGAAUAAGAAAAGAUUUCUGAAAGUUGGCAUAGGUCUGUCACCAUAAUGACCAUAGAGCUUGAAGAAUUCAGAAAGAACACAAAACAGCUUCAAUCCAAUUUGUUAUCUGAGGAAGAAAAGCGUAGUCAGUUUAUGGAAGAAAAAGAUAUACUACAAGUCUCACAGAUGACUUGAAACAGCAAAUGCAUUAUCAACGUGAAGCUAUUUAAGUUUUGAGAGAAGAACGAAAUCAAUUUGAACAUAAAGCACGGUAUUGGAAGGAAGAAUAUCAGUUGAUAGAAUUUUAAGCCACUCACUUAGUAGAACAUAAGAGAAAUCAGUUUUAAAGCAAGAGACAUAGCCCAAGAAGCUAAACAAGUAAAGAAAGAAGUUUACCCAGACAACAUAUCCAAUGCCUGACCAAUUUUCUAGAUAGUGUUUAUGAGCAGUAUAAGCACGUGAGGUGCUUCUUUAGAAAAUUUUAAUAUUGUAAUGAAAGAAGUAUUUAGUAAUGAUAAUGUGAAAUUAUGAUAUGGUGGUUCAAGUUCAGACUUAAAAUCUUUUACAAAUAUUGGAUAUAUAAUAAGCACAUCCUUUGUAUUCCUACAUUUAUGCAUUAUAUGUGUGUUUCAUUUAAAAAAUGCAUCAUGACUAAAAAAAAGAUACCUCAAAAUAACAAAUCUCAAAGAGCUUCCUUUAACUCGAUCAGGUGCAAAGAUAAUUAGGCCAUAAAAAAACAUGGAUGAGACCACUCAUCAUCAUUACAACAUUCACUCUCAAGUCAGAAUCAUGGAAAACGAGUAAGCAUCUAGAAUAGAAAGGAUAGAAAAAGCUUAAUUUGAUAUACAUGAGCAAAUGAUUCAGUCUCAACAAGAGUUGAUAGAACAAAUGACUAAGACUCAAGAAGAGACUCGAAAAGAGAUGGCUACAAUGAUGGACAUGAUAAAGAAAAUGACUAAAGGAAAAGGGGUAGCUGAAAAAGUGACCAUUGAGAAAGAGCCUCAAGCCUAAAAAAAUACCAGUAAUAAAGAAGAUCUAUUGUAUCCAUUAGGGUUCACUCCAUUCUAUGCUCAAACCUUUCAUCAAACGCAUCCACAAAUGACACAGCCUGAAAGGCAGCCACAUACUUAGUUUAAUUUAUGUCUCUACACAGUUCAACCACAUUGUUAAUGACAUGUUGGUUUAAAUAAUGGGGCAAGUCAUGUUGAGCCCAUUAUGAUCCUAAAUUUAGAUGACCCAAGAGAACGGGAAAAGUUAAAGAAAGGCACAACAGAAGUUAGAUCUCUUGGAAGAAAGGCUACGAGCUGUUGAAGGUGUAAAUAUUUUUGGCACAAUUGAUGCUAGUGAACUCAGUUUGGUUCCAGAUUUGGUAAUCCCAUCAGGCACAUAUCACUAUGUUUUGUAGAAAAAUGAUUGGACAUGCAAACAAUGACAAGUUGCUUAUCCAUUGUUUUCAAGAUAGUCUUACUAGAUCAGUUGCCAGAGGUAUAUCCAAUUAGAUAGGAGUCGUAUUUAUUUAUGAAAAGAUCUGGCCAAAGAAUUUAUUAUUCAAUACAAGCAUAUUAUAGACAUGGCUCUAGAUAGAUUAUUCUUGCAAAACAUGAAAAAGAAAGCUAAUAAAAAUUUUAAAGAAUAUGCCCAGAGAUGGUGAGAUGUUACCGCUCAGGUUCAACCUCCUCUCACCAAGAAAAAAUAAUUAUUCUGUUCAUCAAUACCCUUCGAGUGCCAUACUAUGACAAGCUCAUUGUUCAUGCUAAAGAAAACUUUGCUGAUAUGGUGAUUACGGAAGAGAUAAUAGAAAAUGCCAUUAAAAAUGAAAGGAUUGAUAGAGGUGAUGUUUUUGGAUCAAAGCAAGAAGGAUCGUCUAAGAAUAAAAACCAAAACCAAGACUUUUUAUCCCAUACCACUCAUAUCUUGUAUACCAAUCUUCUUACCUAACCAUUUCUAACAUUUUCCAAAACCCAUACCAUUACCAACCAGUGUAAACCCAAACACCUACCUUUCAAGCCAAUGUUCAUCCUCGAGCACCGUCACCAUGACCUUCCCCUCAGCUAAAUACCACAGACUAUAAUCGAAGGGAACCUCAAAAUAAUUGGGAGCAACAAUGAUUUGAUCCAAUUCCUAUGACAUACACGAAAUUAUUCCCUCAGUUAUUUUAGAAACACUUGAUGGGUCAACAACCUAAAGAGCCCUUGAAACUUCCAUAUCCAAAGUGGUAUGAUCCUGAAGCGUCCUAUGACUAUCAUUAUGAAAUUCAGGGCCUCUUUGAAAAAUUGUACAGCCUUCAAACGUAGGGUCCAAAGCCUUAUUGAUAAUGAAAUUUUAAAUUUCACAACCAAGGUCGAACCAAGUAUGGAGGUCAAUCCAUUACCUAAUCAUGGUGAAGGAUCAAUAAAUACUUUAAAUAGUGAGAUAACUUAGAAUAUUAAAAGAGAAGUAAGCGAGAUCACAACCCCUAUGGAUGAAAUAUUUUCUGCCUUUAUGAAAGCAAAUAUGAUUCAUCCAAUACCUGAAAACUCAGAUAAUGAAAAUUUCACAUAUAAUUCAAAUCACACUUAUGAAUUCCAUAUGGGGAUGGUUAGUCAUUCGCUUCAAGAUUGUGAAGCAUUUUGACAUGAGUUGUAGAGAAUGAUGGAUUCUUUUUUGGUUGAAUUUUAUGAAGAACGUGAAAAAAUUCAGUGAAUGUUGUGAUAGGAGACUCAUCCAAAAGUAGGCCUAACCGAAUGAAUUUUGAGCUUGUUACCAUCUUCUAUGAAAAGAAAUCGAGUGUUAAAGUUAAUAAGCCAGUUCAUAUGAAUUUUGAGCUUAUCACGAUCUUUUAUGAUGAAAAAAUGAGUGCUAAAAUUGGCAAACUAGUUUGUUCAACUAUGUCAAAGGUGACAAUUGAGGUUCUUGGCCCAUUCCUGUACAAAUCGGAUAAGGCAGUCCUUUGAAAAUAUGAUUGUAGUAUCAUAUCACAAGGUUUGGAUAAUAGUUCACUUUAAUAUGGCUCAUGUGAUGCAAGCACAACAAAUAUAACUAGCAUAAAAGGCAUAACUUGAAGUGGCAGUGUUAUACCCCAGAAAUACUUGAGAGAGCAUAAAAAAAAAGCAAAAAAAAGAAACAAGCAGAGAAAAAGAAGAUAAUCACCCAAUGAUUAAGAAACUCACAUAGCCCCAGUCCUAGAUCAAGAAUGUAAAAAUUCGGUUACAAAAAAAAAAGAUUGUGAGUUCUUGAAACUUAUUAAGCACAGUGAAUAUAGUGUGGUGGAGCAAUUAAAUCAUUUACCAGCUCAGAUUUUUAUGCUCUCGUUAUUGUUAAAUUCUGAGCCUCAUAGAAAUAAUUUCUUGUUCAAAGUACUCAACGAGGCUUAUGUAGCUCACAAUAUAUUUAUGGAGAAACUUGAUUGCAUAAUGAGAAAUAUCAUAGUAUGAAAUUUUAUAUCAUUUAGUAAUGAUGAAAUUUUACCUGCUGGUAGAGGUGAUGCUAAGGCCUUGCAUAUCUCUAUAAGAUAUAAGGAUUAUACACUAACAAAUGUGCUUAUUGAUAAUGGAUCUUCUUUGAAUGUUAUGUCUAUGACUACAUUAUCUAGAUUACCAGUUGAUAUAUCUUACAUGAAGAUAAAUCAUAUGAUAGUGAGGGCUUUUGAUGGAACUCAUUAUGAAGUAAUAGGCGAUAUAGAGCUACUAAUCCAAAUUGAACCAUGUACUUUUGAUAUAGUUUUUCAAGUCAUGGAUAUCGCUCCUUUUUAUAGCUAUUUUUUAAAAAGACCAUGGAUUCACAUAGCAGGAGCUGUUCAUUCUAUUCUGCAUUAAAAGGUGAAAUUCAUAAUUGAUGAAAAAAAGGUCAUUGUUGCUAGUGAAGAAGAUCUGUUGAUGACUAAACCCUCCACUACAUUAUAUGUUGAAGCAGGUGAGGAAGCCCUAGAAUGUUCUUUCAUAUCCUUUGAAUUCAUUAAUGCAACCUAUAUGGGUGAAGGCUCAAAAAUGCCUAUUCCAUAUCUAUCCAAAGUUUCCAAGAUGACCCUUAAAGAAGUGGUAGGGAAAGGACAACAGAUGUGGAUGACUUGAAAGGGAUGCAACGACCAUGGAUGAUGCAUAAGAAAGAUGAUUGGUUUAGGCUGGGGUAUAAGCCAACUCAAAAACAAAGAAUGAAGUUUAUAGAAGAGAAAAGAGAAAAAAGGUUGGCUCAUUUUCUGGGGUAAAAAGUAGAAACUAAAAGCCUAUAUUUUUUUUUCCUUUAUGAGACUUUCAUCUCGGCUGGUUAUAUCUAUCCAGAUGUAGCAGGAAACAUAGAGAAAGAGUUUACACCAUCACUGGAAAAUAUCUUUGUUGAAUUUUCAAUACAAAUGGUGGGUGAAGAAAAGAAGAACGAAGAUCCAAGCUGUUCAUGGGUUUAUCUUACUCCUCCUGGUACAGAACUGAAAAAUUGGCACGUUGAAGAGUUACCAAUUCUUAAAUUUUCUCCUAAGUAAUGUGUUGAACCUAAUCUAAAUGCUUUUGUUAAAAGCAUUAAAUGUCUUAUGUGUGUUUGUUUCUUCAUUUUCAGUUGAAUAUAUGACAAGCGUAGCACAUUUAUCAAUUUUUUUCACCUCUUUCAUUUCAAUUCCUUGGAUUACUAUAUAUCCAUCUACAUUUCAUCCAUUUUACUUAUUUUCAGGUAUCUAAAUAAUGAGUAUGAAGAUCAUCGUGACAAUAUUUCAAGAUUUGAUUUUGAAAAUUCUGUUUAUAUUGGUGAACUCGAUGAUGAAAAAAAAUAUGGAAGAUCAUGCAAUAUCCAUAAAAUUAUUGAGAUUAGUGGAACAAGAAGAAAAGUAAAUCAUGCCUCAUCAAAAGCCACUAAAGUUGUUAAUUUGAGGGAUGAAGAAACUAAAAAUGAGGUUAAGAUUGGUAUUUCAAUGUCAUCACCAAUAAAGCAAGAGUUGAUAAAGUUACUACACGAAUAUGUAGAUGCAUUUGCUUGGUCAUAUCAAGAUAUGUCAAGGCUGGAUACUAAAAUUAUAGUGCAUAAGCUACUUCUAAAGCUUAAGUGCAAACCAAUUAAAUAGAAGCUGAAAAGGAUGAAACCUAAAAUGUUGUUGAAAAUAAAAAAAAAAGUGAAAAAAUAAUUUGAUGCAGGAUUCUUAGAAGUGGCCAAAUAUUCUAAAUGGGUGGCGAAUAAAGUCCCAAAAGCCAAGAAAGAUGGCAAAGUGAGAAUAUGUGUUGAUUAUCGAGAUCUAAAUAGAGCAAGUCUAAAAGAUAAUUUUUCAUUACCUCACAUUGAUAUUCUAGUGAACAAUACCUCUAGGCACUCUCUGUUUUCAUUCAUGGAUGAUUUUUAGGCUAUAAUCAAAUUAAAAUGGCAUAAGAAGAUAUGAAAAAGACUACUUUUAUGAUAGUAUGGGGAACAUUUUCCUAUAAAGUCAUGCCUUUCAGUUUGAAAAAUGCUGGAGCAACUUAUCAAAGAGCUAUGGUAACUUUAUUCCACGAUAUGAUACAUAAAGAAAUAGAACUAUAUGCGGAUGACAUGAUUGCCAAAUCCUAUGAAGAAGAAAAUUAUGUAACUAAUCUGAGAAAGCUAUUUAAGAGAUUAAGAAAGUUUCAACUCAAGCUCAAUCCAGCUAAAUGCACUUUUGAUGCAACCUCAGGAAAAUUAUUGAGAUUUAUUAUCAAUAAAAGAGGAAUAAAUGUGGAUCCAAAGAAGAUACAUGCCAUCCAAGAGCUACCACCUCCACAUACGUAAAAAGAAGUAAGGAGAUUUUUAGGGAGAUUGAAUUAUAUUGCUUAUUUCAUUUCUCAACUUAUAGCUAAAUGUGAUCCUAUAUUUAAGAUUCUUUAAAAAACAGGAGUCAAGAGAAUAAGAUGAAGAUUGUUAAAUGGCAUUUGAAAAAGUUAAAUAAUACUUAGCAAACCCACUAGUAUUAAUGUCGUAUGUCCUUGGAAGACCUUUUAUUCUGUAUUUGAUGGUGCAUGAAAAAUCAAUGAGAUGUGUUUUGGGAUAACAUGAUGAAACAUGAAGGAAAUAACAAGUCAUUUACUAUUUGAGCAAAAAGUUUACUAAUUACAAGUCAAAGUAUUCACCAUUAAAAAGAUGUAUUGUGCACUAGCUUGGACGGCUCGUCGGUUCAGACAAUACAUGUUGUAUCAUACCACUUGGCUUAUUGUAAAAUUAGAUCCAAUCAGUACAUCUUUGAAAAGCCUUUAUUGUCGAGAAGAAUAACAAGAUGGCAAGUAUUACUUUUUGAAUAUGACAUUGUAUAUGUGUUCAAAAAGGCAAUCAAAAGAGGUGUUAUUACUAAAUUUCUUACAAAACAUGCUCGUGAAGAUUAUGUGCUUAUGACAUUUGAUUUUUCAAAUGAAGACUAAUGUCUGUACUGCAUAUAGAUAAAGAAGAGCAUAAUGAAGAUAUAUGGAAGAUGUGUUUUGAUGUUACAUCAAAUGCUUUGGGGCAUGGCAUAAGAGUAGUUUUGAUAUCUCUAGAAAAAGAUUACUACUAAAUCACUGCAAAACUAAAUUUUGACUACACCAAUAAUAUGGUAAAAUAUGAAGCAUGUGUCAGGGUCUUUAAGCUACUCUUGAAAGAAAAGCCCAUGCAUUAAAAGUUUAUGGAGACUCUAUUUUGGUCAUAUGCUAAUUGCGAGGAGAAUGGGAAACCGAAGACUCAAAGUUGAUUUUAUACCAAAAGUACAUAUUAGAAUUGAUCAAAAAAUUUGAGAAUAUUUAGUUUCAUGAUUUACCCCAAGAAGAGAGUCAGAUGACUGAUGCUUUGGCUACAUUGGCAGUAAUGUUCAAAUUAAAUGAAAAUGCUGAAAUUUAACCCAUUAAAUUGAGCUUGUGAGGGAAAUCAGCUCACUAUUCAAAUGUUAUAGAAGAAGUUGAUGGAAAACUAUGUUAUUUUGACAUAUUACAAUAUGUUAAGUAUCAGCAGUACCCAGAGCACAUAUCAAAGAAGGAUAAGAGAACUUUGAGAAGAUUGGUAAUAGGUUUCUUUCCAGAUGGAAAAAUUUUAUAUAAGAAAAGUUGAAACCAAAUAUUAUUGAGAUGUGUGAAUGCUGCUGAAGCUAAAAAUUACUAGAAGAAAUUCAUUGAGGUGUUUUUGGAACUCAAGCAAAUGGCCACAUGAUGACUAAGUAAAUAAUGAGAGCAAGAUACUAUUAGUUGACAAUGGAAAAAGAUUGCAUUGACUAUGGUAGAAAAUGCCAUAAAUGUCAAAUAUAUGCAGACAAGAUUCAAGUUCCUCUAACGUUUUUACAUGUUAUGUCAACACCUUGGCCUUUCUCUAUGUGGGGAAUAGAUGUGAUAAGGCCAAUUACACCAAAAGCCUUAAAUGGGCAUCAAUUCAUUUUAGUGAUGAUUAACUACUUCACAAAAUGGGUAGAGAUAGCUUCAUUUGCUAAUGUGACAAGAAUGGUGGUUUGUAAGUUCAUUAAGGAAUAGAUCAUAUAUUGAUAUGGCCUUCCAGAAAGGCUCAUUUCGAAUAAUGCUCUUAAUUUAAAUAAUAAAAUGAUGACCGAGGUCUAUGCUCAGUUUAAAAUCAAACACCAUAAAUCAAUGCCUUAUUGUCCAAAAAUGAAUGAGGCAAUCGAAGCGGCCAAUAAGAACAUAAAGAGAAUUGUUGAAAAGAUGACAAAUGUGUAUAAAGAUUGGCAUGAAAAGCUAUCAUUUGCAUUACAUGCUUAUCGAACUUUGAUUUGCACAUUUACAAGAGCUACACCAUUUUCAUUGGUAUAUGGGAUGAAGGCAGUGUUACCUAUUGAAGUUAAAAUUCAUUUCUUGCAUGUUCUUAUGAAAGUUAAGUUAGAAGAAGCUGAGUGGGUUCGCGCUCGAUAUGAACAAUUGAAUCUCAUUAAAGAAAAAAGAUUAGCUCUACUUUGCCAUGUCCAACUGUAUCAAAGAAGAAUAAUGCGAGCUCAUGAUAAAAAAAUUCACUCACAAUAAUUUCGAGAGAAAGAAUUAGUAUUGAAGAAGAUUAUUCCUAACCAAUCGGAUCCUUGAGAAAAAUGGACUCCUAAUUGGGAAGGCCCAUAUGUGGUGAAAAAAGCUUUUUCUGGUGAGGCACUAAUUUUGACAAUAAUGGAUGGAGAUGAUUUGCCAAAUCCAAUUAAUGUCGAUGCAGUAAAAAAAUAUUAUGCUUAAAAAAUAAAAAAAAUAAUUUAAAAAGAUAUCUAAGUUGAAAACCUGAAAUGGUAGCUUAGAUAAAAAUAAAAAAGGGAUAGUGAAUAGAGUGGGUCAAUUCUCAAUAUGUGCCAGAAGAUCUCAUUGGUUUUAGGCUAGCUUGGUCUGCUGUAUUUUUUAAAUUCAAGGGCACCAAUCAAGAGUUUUUAGAAAAGAAUCCAUGAUGAAUUAGUUCAUGAUGAUCUAAAUAUUUGUUAUGUGAUUACUUGUUGUCCUUGUUAUAUCCUUUUAGAUAAUGCAUGAAACACUUUUUUCUUUUACCAAAAUAAAAUACCUCUUUGUUUAUCUUCCUUUUGUCCCUCUUGUUAAAAAGAGAAAUGUGCAAUGUGUUAUAAUUGUCGUAAAAUUCAAAAGAUGAUGAAAGAAUAACAAUGACCAUAAAAGACACACAUUAUUUUGAAGGAGAUUUAAAAUGAUAACCCAAAUAAUAGGGAACAAAGGUUAAUGAGAAAGAUAGCUUAUAAGUCAUAAAAGUGGUCAACAUUGAAUAUAGGAUAUAAAAAGAAUUUUUUUUAUCUAAACUUAAUCAACUGCUGGAAUGCAUGGGAUUCAAGAGAAGAAGAAAAGAAACAAACCUUGAGAAAUUUUGAGGAUUAAAAAAAAAUGACGAUAAAAAAAAAAGAUGGUCUCUUCAUUUGCAUAAUGAGUGCAUUCGUAUCGUGAUCAUCAUUCAUUGCAUGACAUUGUAAAAAUAUGAAAAUGUUAUUCACAGAUGCAUGUGACAUAACAGAUGUAUGGGUCUAGGACAAUCCAAGACCAACAAAAAAAAAGUUAAAAGCAGGAAAGAUGUGAACCUUCUGUUCAAAGAAAUCUUUCAAAUAUCAUUGCUUCUCAACCUUUUGAAUUUAAAGUUCGUUGCCUCUGGUCAGAUGAGCCUUUUAACAUUUAAAAUUCGUUGCCUCUGGUCAAAGAAGCUUUUUAAUUUUAAGAGCCUAUGGUUAGAGGACUCUAUCAAAAUUAGGCAUGAUUUGUAAGACCAAAUGGCAUAAUUUAUAAGUCCUCUCAAAUUUUUAAUUUAAAGUUUGUUGCCUUUGGUUAAAGGAGCCAUUUAAAGUUCGUUGCCUCUGGUUAAAUGAGCCUUUUUAACAUUUAAAAUUUGUUGCCUCUAGUGAGAAGAGCUUUUUAACAUUUAAAGUUUGUUGCCUCUGGUGAGAGGAGCCUUUUAACAUUUAAAGUCUGUUGCCUCUGGUCAGAGGAGCUUUUUGAAUUUAAAGUUUCGUAGCCUCUGUUUAAAUGAGCCUUUCAAAUUUUCUUUAAAAAAAAACUUUAUGUUCAAUGUUUCAUUUUUUGUAUGUGUUUACUUGAAUAAAAUUAGUGUCUUUUUAUCUUUGCUUUAUUCUUGAUUCUCAUAAAUAAGCAAAAAGUGACAGCUGUAGAUACCAAUUUUGACUAACUAAUUUUUUUAUAUAUUAAUAUUAAUAUUAUUAUUAUUAACCUUUAAAAAAAGAAAAAAAGAAAAAAUAUAUUUGAUUUCAACUCUGGCAGUUGAAAUCAAGCUACUAGAGUGGUCCAUCUUCCACUUUGACACUGCCUAACUUGAUAGCAUCAAAUCCAGUGACCAAAAGUCACCAGAUGACACCUAAAUUUUUCACAAAAAAAUUUGAGGAGAUCUGGGAUUUGAAAUCCCAGAAGCUCUAUAAAUAGAGCUAAGUUUUGUAGAAAAAAAGGACAAAAGGAAACAAAAUCAAAGAAAAAACCAAUAAUCACAAUCUUUUUUUAUAAAGGAACCAAUAGCAAACAUACAAAAAAUUCAAAAAAAAAAAAACACCAAGAAUGAAAUUCUCGAUCUAGGAAGUUUGAGAUUUUUUUUGAAAAUUUUGAGCUUGAAAAAGUGUUUAGAAAGCAAAAAGGAUCACUAGGAGAAUUUUUAAAAAUUUUUGGAUUUUUUUUAGGUCACCAGAAUCUGGAAAAGUUUAAAUUUUUUGACAAUCGAUUGAAUUCUUUGGCCAUCGAAAUCUAGAAAAGAGGCCGGAAUCUAAGAUUUUUUUGAAUUUUUCUUAGUCAAUUAAAGUUUUCGACCACCGGUGCAUGACGACAACCGACCAAAAACUGGGUAACCAUGGCGGCCGGCGAUAAGGGUUGAGUUUUUAGAAAGAGAGGCUCUGUGGUAGAGAGAGAUGGGAAAGAAAAAAAUUAAAAAUAAAAAUAAAAAAUAAGCUUUUUAUAAGUCCUUCAAAAUGACGUCAUUUUGGAUGUAUGAACUGAGCCCGACCUGUGUAAGAUCCAAGCAUUAACUCGCGAGCUGACCCGAUCUAUUCAUAAGUUUUCCCUUUUCUUUUUCUUUUUAUUUUUCUGUUUUGAUUUUGAUUUAUUUUAUGCUGAUUUUUAUGUUAUUUUUUAUGAUAUUAUUAUUAUUAUUAUUAUUAUUAUUAUUAUUAUUAUUAUUGUUAUUAUUAAUUUUUUUAAAAACAAAUAAAUAAAGUGAAAAAAAAACAAUACUAAAAUAAAAUAUGGACCUACAAAAUAUGAUAUGCGAAAAAAAAAUUUAAUAAUAAUAUCUAUUUAAGGAAAAUAAAAUUUUAUUUCAAGCAAAAAGGUUAUUUAAAUUUCACCAAAAGUGUUGGGAUAAUUUUAAAAAAUAAUUUUUACUAAAAGAAUAAUAAAUUAUAAAAAAUGAUAAAUAAAAUAAAAGAAUAAAUUAUUUAAAUGAAUCUUUUAAAUGUAAUUGUUAAAGAAAGCCGAAAGAAUUAAGUUUUCUUUAAUUGUUGCAAGUAAAAAUAAUUUUUCGAAUUUCACCAUAGAGUUGGGAUAAUCCAAAAUUAUUUUUACUAAAAUAAAGAUUGAUUUAGAUAAUGUAAAACAAUAAUAAAAAAUAAUAAUGAAAAAAUAAUAAUAAUUGAUAUUUUGAAUAUUUAAAAAAAUAAAAAAUUAAAAGAUUUCGAUUUUUUUUAAUAUAAGCAAGAUAUUAGUAUUUAGAUUUCACCGGUGAGUUGGGAUAAUCUAAAUUUUUUUAUAAUAAAAAAAAUUAAAAAUAAAAAAUUUUAAAAUAAUCGUAAUAAAGAUUAAUUAAUUAAUUAAUUCCUUUAACUAUAAAAAAUAAUUUUUAUUUAGGAUAUUGUCCAAAAUUGAGAUAAUUCUAAAACUUGUUCAAAAUUUUAAGAUUUCAUUAAAGAGACGAGAUAAUCUUAAAAUUUAUUUAAUAAAUUUUUGGAACUCAUCAAAGAGUUGGGAUGUUCCUAAAAUCAUUUUUAAAACAAAUAAAUGAAGUGUUUUUUAAAUAGUAAUUUUUUAUAAAUUCCGUCAAAGCACUGAAGAAUUUAUAGAAUACGAAAUAAUAAUAAUAAUAAUAAUAAUGUUAAUUUCAUAACAAAGAAAUAUUUUUUAAAUAAAUUUAAAAAAUUAAAUUUAAAUAUAACAGAUUAUAUCAUCAAAAUUAAAGGAUUACACAUGUUUAAUUGGUAUCGUUCUCUGAACGGGAGAUGUGAGGGUACUAUUAUCUUCUUCACUUGUAACUUUACUCCCAAACUUAACUCUGACUUCACAGACCUAAAUUUUUUUUAAUAAAUUUUAAUUAAUUUUGAGAUUUUUAUUAAAAGAUGAUAUAUUUUGGGUGGCCAAUCACACCAUCUAAAAAGAUUGGUGGUGACUCUAAAAAUUUUUACUAAGUCUAAAGAUCGAGUCCCUCUAAAUGAAAAAUUGUUAUGACAUUUUUUUUUAUUAAUUACUUGACACCUUUUAAAAAAAAUGAGAAUGCACUUUUUUAUGUAAAUGGCAAAAAUAUUUCUCUUUUAAAUGAUAAAUUAUUAUAAUGCUUUUUAUUUCUUCAAUGAUAAAAAUAUCCCUCUUAUAAAUAUCAAAUCAUUAUAAUACCACUUAUAUUUAAAAUGAUGAAAUAUCUCUCUUAUAAAUGAUAAAUUAUUAUGAUACCCUUAUGUCAUAAUUAUAAAAAUAUUCUUCAUGUUAUAAUUGAUUAAAAUUACUAUAAUAUCCCUCCUAUUAUAAUUAUAAAAAUACCUCUACUAUCAUGAUUGAUCAAAAUUAUUAUAAUGCUCUAUUAUUUUAAUUACGAAAAUGCCUUUUAUCAAAAUUAAUCAAAAUAACUAUAAUGCUCCUUACCAUAAUUACAAAAAUGUCCAUAUGAUUAAAUCAAAAGAAGUUGACAUUUGACAUUUUUAUUUAAAAUUACUAUAAUACCUUUUAAAUUUAUGUAUGAAAUUUUAACAUAAUAAUAUAAAAUUGAUCACUUAUUAAAUUAUUAAAAUACCCUUAUCAUCAUUUCAUAAAAAUUUGAUGUGUGAUAUUUUAUUUGAAAAUUGCUAUAAUACUCUUAUUAAAUUACAUAAAUUAAAUUUUAACAUAAUAUAAAAUUAGUCACAUAUUAAAUUACUAAUCUCAUUGAGAUUAUUAAAAUGCCUUUAGGUUCUUUGAUUAAAAGUUGACACGUGUCUUAAAUGAUUAUAGUAUCCUUUUUAUUAUAAUUACAAAUCAUCCCUCUUACCAUAAAUUAGUUAAAAUUACAAUGAUACCCCUCUUAUCAUAAUUGACUAAAAUUAUUAUUAUAUCCUAUAUCAUAAUUACAAAAAUACUUUUAUGAUUUCUUUAUAAAAGUUGACAUAUGGCAUUCUUUUUUAAAAUUACUAUAAAACUGUUAUUAAAUUACUUAUUAAAAUAAUUAUAAAUAUAUUUAAAAUAAUAAAAAUCUGAUAAAUAAUAAUAAUAUUUUUUUAUAGAAAAAUAGUUCACCCUGACAUAUCAUAUGAUUUUAACCACAAAAGCAUAACUAAAUUCAUUAUUUACAUAUGAACUCUAUUACUCAUAUGGUUCAAUAAAAUGAGUUUAUGAGACGGAUCGAGUCUAAUUGACACCUUUAAAAAUAAGUUUGUGACUCUAUUUGGCUUGUUAAAUAGAACUCAUUUAGGCUUGUUACCACUAAAAUAUUUUAAAUUAUUUUUAUAUUAAUAUUUUUAUAUUAUAAAAUAUAUUUAAAUAUUAAAAUUAAGUAAAAAUAUUUUAUUAAUAUAAUAAUAUUUUGAGUUGAACUAAAUUAAACCAAGCUGAACUUAAUGCUUGAAAAAUCCUAUUCAACGCACGGUGCCAGUAGUAUCCAGUCACGAACUUGGCAAGCUACAUGACCAUCUAAAUUAUGGAAGAGUUUAUCUAUUGUAAAAGGAUAAAUUAGAUGUUUGGCUCUCAAAAUUUUAAUUUCGGUAGGAAGCAAAUUUAAACUUCUAAGCGGAGGUAUAAAUCAAAACUUUUCAAAAGUGCAAAUUUAAUAAGAAAUAUUUAAUGAAAGUUUUUUAGAAUUUCACUUUACUCAUCAAUAAUUUACAAAAUUAUUAGGAGAAUUAUAUAAUUUCACAUUAUUUUUUUAUUUUUCUAUUUUUUAUUGAAUUCAUUUAUUUUUUUAUUAUAAUUAAUAAAAACAUCACUUUAUUUUAUUUAUUUAUUCACCUAAAACUUGUGUUUUAAUUUAAUAAAGUUUGACUAUUUUAUUUUUAUUUAUUAAAAAUAUAUAAAAAUAUUUAAAUUUGCUAAAUUUUUUUAGCUUCCCUUUACGGUACUCUUAAAAUAGUUAUAUUCCAACAGUGCUUCUUGUAAAAGUUCUAACCAAGCCAAACAGACCUUUUAACUUUAAGGGUCAAUAAUUUAAAGUAAAAAAGAAGAGGAAUAACAUUUUGUUGUUUCCACAUAUAGCGGCAUGGUCAUAGCUAGUAAUUUUGUGUUCUCAUGUAUGUAAUAAUUUGAUUUGCAUAGUUGAAAACCCGAAAAGAUAGUUUGAAACAAGAUUGCAUUUUAAAUGAACCAAUGAGCACUGACAACCUUUGAGAAACUUAAGAAAAUUAACUAAGUUUGAAAUUUUAUUUUGAAAUUUGAGUCUUUUCUAAAAAUUUUGAGCCUAUUUAAGUUAGUAUUGGCAUUUACUAAAAUACCACAUAUUAAGAAUCUAAGGGAGUGCAAAAAAGAAUUAUACUUUAAACCAAAUCAUUUUUCAAUAAAUUUGAAUUAUCAUUUGUGAGUCUAGAUGAAAAAAUAUUGAUUUUCCCUUUCUCAUUCAGUAACUAAAUGUGUGAAACCAUUUCAUCCUUUUGGAAAAACCAAAAUGUGAUUCACCUAAUUCAUUCAAGUUAGUAAUCACAAGAUUUCAAGAAAUCUAAAUGUCACAUGUUUUUAAAGAAUUGAUUUAUUUUUGUUUUGGUCACAAAAAAUUGUUAUGUGAGGUGAUUUUUUUUUAUUAUUAUUUUGGGGUAAUUGGUGUUACCAUUCUUUUGGAAGUUUUUGAAACCAUGCAAAUUUCUAUUGUUACAUAUAUGAAUUUUCGUGGAUGGGAGAAAGAUGAUUUCCAAAUCAAUACAAGAAAACUGACCUUUUAAGGGCAACAAAAUGUUUUGUUUUGAUAAUUACAAAUUGAUAAUUGCCUCUGCAUAAUUGUUUGGGUCAUGCAUUUGCAUCAUUUAAGGAAUUUAUAAACUGCAUAAUUGUUUGGAUCAUUCAUUUACAUCAUUUGUGAAAUUUAAAAAUUGCAUCAUUGUUUGGACCAUGUCUGUGCAUCAUUUGGUGAAAAUUUAAAUCAUUGUUUUAAAUAUUGCAUUUGCAUCAUAGUUAGAACCAUGCAUUUGCAUCAUUUUGUGAGUAUUUAGAUCUUUGACGUUUACAAACAUUUACAUCAUUUAAUUAAAUUUUCUAAAGAUAUCAAGAAAGAUGAUGAAAAAAUGACAUUUGCAUCUAAUUUAUUUAGAUAUUUGCAUUUGCAUUUAUAUUGGUGAGAUAAGUAUUUGCAUUUGCAUCUUGGUAGGAUACAUUGGCAUUCAUAUCAUGACAUUUGCAUUUUUGCAAACUUUGAGGUGAAAAAAGAAAUAAAGAAAUUUGAUUUAAGCCUAGAUUAAAUUACGUAUGAUGAGAUUUAAAUCCAAAUUAGCUAGCACAUAAUGAGACUUAAGCCCAGAUUAGUUGGUACUAGUUGAAUUUUAAGCCCAAGGCACUUGUUGAGAAUUUAAGCCCAACUAUGUUACCACAUGAAAAGAAAAAUAUUGAUUUUUAAAGUUUUAAAACCUCUAUUGAAAAAGAGUUUUUCAAAAUAAGAAACAAUUCGUAAGACCUCUGCAUAUAAUCUCCAAAACGUCCAAGUAUGAUUUAUAAGACCUCAAAGUAUGAUCCUUAUAACCUCUUGGUACCUUUUCACUAAAACCUCUUGGUACCUUUUUAAAUUUAAUUUUUUAAAGUUUUAAAGCCUUUGGUUAUAAUAGCUUUUUGGUUAUGAAUUUUAAAAUUUUAUAGCAUUUAGUUAAACGAACUUUUUUAUUUUUUUUAAAAUUUCAUUGCCUUUGGUUAGAGGAGUUUUUUUUUUUUUUUUCAAAUUUUAAAGUUUCAUAGCCUCUAGUUAAAUAAGCUAUUUCAAUUUUUUAAAAGUUUCAAAAUUUCUAGUUAGAAGAGCAUUUUAAUUGCGAAUUUUAAGUUCCAUAGCCUCUGGUUAGAAAAGUUCUUUCAUUUUUUAAAAGUUUCAUUAUGUUUGGUUAAAGAAGUCUUUUUAAAAUUUUAAAGUUUCAAUACCUAUAGUUACAGGAGCUUUUUAAAUUUUUAAAAUUUCAAUGCCUUUGCUUAAAUGAGCUUUUUAAAAUUUUAAAGUUUUACAACCUCUAAUUAGAUAAGCUCUUUCAUUUUUUAAAAGGUUCAUUGCAUUUGGUUAGAGGAGCCUUUUUAAAAAUUUUAAAGUUUUAAUAUCUUUGGUUAGAGAAGUAUUUUAAAUUUUUAAAAUUUUAAUACCUCUUGUUAAAAGAGUCUUUUCAAAUUCUAAAGUUUCAAUACCUCAGGUGCCUUUUAAUUUUUUAAAGUUUUAAUACCUUUGGUUUGAAGAGUCUUUUAAAUUUUUAAAGUUUUAAUGACUUUGAUUAAAGAAGCUUUUUAAAUUUUUAAAGUUUCAAUACUUCUAGUUAGAAGAGCCUUUUAAAUUUUUAAUACCUCUGUUGAGGAUGAGCUUUUUGAACUUUUAAAAUUUCAACUUUUCUAUUGAGGAUGAGCUUUUAUUAUUUUCCUCUGAUAAUUUUUUAACACAAACAAAAUAGAUGUCUUUUGUUUUUAUACAAUUCAUAUUUCAUAAAAAAUGUGCAAAGAAGAGAAAUUGUAGACACUUAGUUUUGUUUGAGGUCUUUUCGAUAUUAUUGGGUCUCGAAUUGCAUUUUGAUAUUAGAUUUUCAAAACAAUUUUAAGCCCAAAUUUAAAGGUUGAAAAGUGUUUUUUAGUUUUAUUUAUGGUAAAUAAAUAACACAAAUUUUGAUUUUUUAAAAGAUUGUGAUUUUAUUUAGAUUUGAAAUUUAGAAAUUGAGUUUGAUUUUAAUAAGUCUUAGGAAUUAAGUUUCUACAAGAAGAAAUAAAAUUUGACAGGAUCUUGAUAGAUUCAAUUGGUAUUAAAAUUUUUUAAAUUGAAAAAGAAUUCAAUCCUUAUAUAAAAAGCUCAAUUUCAGGCUCAGAGAAUCAAGAAACAAUUAACAUAAUCAACAAUUAUCAAGCAACACAAAACUUUGAGUUUUGAAGGAGAAGUUCACAAGUAAAGGGAGAAGAAAAUCAAUAAGUAAUUGGAAGAGAGAAAAACAACAAAAAAAUGAAAGAAAAUGAAAAUUUUGAGAUUUUAUAGCUCAACUAAAUUGCUACCAUUUUGACCUUGAAGAAGAAAAGGAUCCAUAUGUUAUCCAAGCCCAACCCAACCUAAAUCGCAAGAUUUUUCUUUUUUUUUUUAUUUUAAUUUUUUAUGCUCUCUUGAUUUUAUAUGAUAAUUUGAGAAUAUGAAAUUUGGAAAUUGUAGAUAUUUUUGUACAAUAUAUAUGUAUGAUUGUUUUGUUUAAUUAUUUUGGAAUUAAUUUGAAAUUUAUAAUUUGUAAAUAAAUAAAAAUAACUAAAUUGAUUUCAUUGUCAUAAGAUAUUUAAUAAAUCUAACGACGGAACCUUUUUGAGUAAAUAAUAAGUUUAUCUUGAAUAUUGUUAAAGUGAGUUUUUUCUUUCUUUUUUUUUUUGUGAAAACCUAAAAUUUUUUUUAAUAUUUAAAUAUUGAAACAUUGAAAUUAAUAAAAACUAUUUUUGAUUAAGACUUAAUUAAGAUAACAUAAAACUAAUUUGGUACCAAUUUGUGAGUAUUGUAAAGAUGCUAAAACCUUUCAUACACAUAAUCGACUCUCGAACUCAAUUCUGUUGAUGUAAACUAAAUUUUAUUUUUUUUAGAGACCCUUAGUUUAAACUUAAGAUAACCAUAAAAAAGAUGAUUCACAUAGGUGACCAAUAAUAUUUAGAUAAAAAAAAUUGAUAACGAUUUCAUAUUUUUGUAUUUAAUAAGCAAAUUCUCGCACUUGAGCAUUAUGCCACCUUAUCAAAAAUUAUAUCUAUAGAACCUCCAAUUUGGAAAUCAAUAUUUUUUUUCUACAUAUGAAAGCUUAUUAUGUAUUUGAUUACCCUUUGGCCAAAAGAAAAAUAAAAUGUUUGAUACACAAUAGAAAUAUUCAUCAGUCAUCCACAAAGUUUAAUUAUGACAUAACUUCAAAUUAAAAAUUUUAAUAGUCUUAGGGACCACACUUAAAAUUAAUUUUAAUGUGUACAUGAAAUUGCUAUUUUCCUUCUUGUUUUUAAAUAAAAUGUGUCAAAAGUUAAUUUAGCCGCUACAACAAUACGAGAUAGCUUUUUCCUUAUUCUCAUAAAUUUUACCUCGUUUAUUUCAAAAUUUGGAUCGACAAAAACUUUUAGAGUAGACUUUUAAAUUCUAACCAAAUAUUUCGAGUAACAGAGCAUUAUAUUUUUAUCAAUAAUUAACCUAAUCUUGUUGGAAAUUAAUAGAUAUUAUUUUUACAUAUUAUUAGUCACAUUACUUGAUAUUGAGACAUUUGCCACCUCAAUUUUCUCUUCCCACUCCCGAGGUAGGUAUAAUCUUUGGGUAUAAGCUUUUCAUAAUGUUUCAAAUUUUCUUGAAAACUACCCUAGUUUUGGUAAAUGUAAGGGAAACUGGAAAUUAACUUGUUGCUUUAAUUUCAUCAACCAACCUUCACAUUGCCUACCAAACCAACAAAGUUAUUGUACAAUUUUGUUUUUUUGUAAGAUGAGGCAUUUACUAAUAUUUGAUUAUAGAUUUGAAUUUCGAACAGCCAAUUAUGUAUUAAUGAAUUUGUUAAUAUUUUAUUUGUUUAAUCUCUCUAGGUCAUUCUAUUUUGACAAAGGCAGUUAGUGGUUAAAGAGAUGGAUCAGUGGCACAAUAAAUCCCAAUUAAAAUAUAUGGUUGGACCGUUUCAAAAUUGCCAUGAAGAUAUGAAAUGGACUGUUUCAAAAUUCUGUCAAAUUUAGAGAAUAAAGUUUAUUUUUUUCAAGUUACAAUUACUGAAUGAUUAAUAUAUAAAUUAAAAUAUAACUAAAUAAUUAAAUUCAUACACAAUAGGACUUAAAUAAAAAAUCUCAAAAUUUAAGGAUUUCCUCUUUAUAAUUAAACCAAAGCCUCGUUCACACUUGGAGAACAAAGUUUAAAAUAUAGGAGAUUAUUAACUUCGCAUAAUUCAAAAUUUUGACCAAAAAAAUGCAAAAUUCCUGUUUACCUAAAAUUCAGUUUGUGAAAUAGAGAAGUGGUUUUGAAAAAUAGGUCAAAUGUGUAGCUAAGUCUCUUCAACUCACCUUAAAAAAAAAAAAAAACUUCCGUACAAAUGCUUUGACUCAGUUUGACGCUAUCCGGUGUUCGGGAAUUGAAAUUUUGAAAUGCAAAUGCUAGUAGGGACCUUUUCCACUUUCUCUAGUUAUAGUUUAGAGUUUUGCUCUCAUGAAUUUGAUUUUACGAACUUAUCAUAAAAUUUUGACGUGAUUUAGUUAUAAUCGAUUCAAACUUUGAAUUUGAUAUUUUAGGAUUAAAUGAUCAAGUUUGACAAAAUAUAAUAUUAAUAAAUAAUAUUUUAAUUAAAUUUUAAUUUAAAAACAUAUUUAAAUAUAAAAAUAUUUUAAUAUUUGAAAAAUAAUCCUAACUUAAAUGGACAUGCCGAGCUUACACUUAAGCUUUCUAGGCAUUAAUGGGCUCGAGAGUCCAAUCCUACUUGUGAACACUACUUGUAUAAAAAAAAAUUAACUAUAAAUAUUUAAUAAGUAAAUAAAAGGAAUAUUUUUAUAAAAUAUUUUGACUUUGAACUUUUUUUUAAUCAAAUAAAAAAGUAUAUUGAUAAAAUUAUAAUUGUUCAAAGAUGAGUGGUAUAUUUGAUCCACCAUCUUAAGUCAUCAAUUUGAACUUUAUCCUUACAUAGAUUUUGUUUUAAAUAUUUUAAUUAAAUAAAAUUUAAUUUUCAACACACAGCCAUGCCAUGUUGGAUUGUAAUGCUAGGUCUCGGAUUAAAUCCCAAGUGUGCUGCCUCAGUCUUGUGUCGGGUUCACCAUAAGACCUCGUGAUUCUCCUAUUGUCAACCUCGUUUAUUCCUUCCAUCAUCACAUCUAUGUGCUUUUUUGAGAAGCUUCUAAGUUGAAGAUCGGUCUGUGUUCCACGUCAUGGCUAAUCCCCCACUCUGUCCCAUUUAACUCACCCCAAUACAUGCAUUGAAAGCACAUGCAUCUUCUUUUUAUUCUUUUGAACUUCCUUUUAUGUAGGUUUGUUUCACUAAGGAAAACUACAUGGGAUUUCUCUUUCUUCAACAGCUGUUGAAGAGCUCGAACUGUAUGAGGGUUCCGAAGCCCCCGAUAAUUCCACACAAGGCACCUCAUUGGUAUUAAUGUCAUUGUUGCACUUUCAUCAAAUCUCCCUCUCUCGGGUUGACUUGUUCCCUCACUGUUUGUUUCAUUGUCAAUUGUAUCCAAUAUUUUAUCCAUCCCUCGCUUUCCCAGACUUGUCUGAAUAGCAAUCUCUUGUCUAGCUACACGUCUUGCUUUUUUCUUCCAUGUUGUUCCAGCAUUGUGACUCGUUGUCGACUCUUCCCGCCCCUCUUUAAUCGAGUUAAGCUUGCUACUGUUCCCCUCUUGGCUUCCAAGUGUAGUGGAGGUCCCCAGCAUUUUUGUCACAUGUGUGUUUAAGUGCAAUGUUUUUUUCAUGGCUAGCAAUGUUUCCAUACAUGGCCUUUGAUGGACAUGGGUCCCGCUCAUUUCUAGCUAUAUCCUCUCCUGCAAUACCACCUUUUUUAUGUAUCACGUGCAACCUGCUUCAAAUUUGAUUUCGAAAUUGUAUCUGCCACUGCCAAUCCGUCCCCUGGAUCAAGGGUUUACUCGUUCCUCCGCUGAUUUCAUUUUCCUGAUUUUUUGGCAGAUUUAUCUCCUCCAAUCGAUUAUCCUUCUCAAUCACAUCUUGGUGAGGCCGUACUCUGCUAUGCCCACCUCCAUGUAGAGUUUCCUGUUCCCCUCGAACACUUCCUUUGUUAUCUCCCAAUUUCCUCGAGAACAUGUUUCCAGUACCUGUCCAAUCUCUUCCCCAACCUAUUCGUGUGACAGUACUGAAAGAGCCAUACCCUUUUUUAACGGGGGACGCAUGCAGCCAACUACCAUAAAGAGAAUCAGAGUCUAUUCUGUUUUCUUUAUUCCCUGCUAAUCCACAUUCCAUACCUGUAUGGCCAAGAUUACCACAUUCAUAACAAAAGGUUGGCAGCCUUUCAUAUUUUACUACUCCUUUUAUCUUAUUCCCUCCUCCUUGAGUACCCAGUAGCACAAAUCUUCUCAAAGGGUUUCUGAUGUCUAAUUCCACUCGAAUCCUUACAAACAUCCCCCACUCCGAAUUGUUCCUAGUUGGAUCAAAACCUUCGUAGUUCCCUAUUUUUCUCCCAAUUAUCUCUCCAACACUGCUGUUCAUCCAUUUUAGGGGGAGAUCGUAUAUACUUACCCAAAACUGAGCUUUCGUAAAAUUAUAUUCCAAUGGUCUGAAAUCCCCAUUAUACUCAGUGAAGAUCAAAAGCUUUUUUUCAAAGGACCAAAGGGAGCCACCCAUAACCCUCAUUUUGUCUUUCUUCGAGCCGAACUUAAAAAUGAAAAUACUGGAAUCCAAUAUACUAACUUGCAAUUCGAUGGUAAUUCUCCAAAUGAACUUGAAAGUGCCGAUCAUGGCUUCUUUGUUGAAAGGGCGAUUUGUUAAUAGUUUACCCACUAACCAUUUCUCUCCCUCCUCUACAUUCACAGUAUCACACUCGGUUCUUAUCUCAACUCGAUCAUUCUCGUCCUCCGUUAGUUUCAGGUUGUUCCAAACCCCUUCCGAACCUUCUGCCAUCACACCUCAAAUGAUAUGUAGAUGACACUCUCGAAACUCGUAAGAAAACUCAGAAAACUCAACCAGAAACUAGAACUCCUCCCAUAGAGUCAAAACCUCCGAUAACAGUAGACACAAACAAUGGGAAAAUGUGGACUACUCUGUGGGCUUUUGAUACUCCAAGCAAGGUUAAGUCCCUAUUUUAGAGAAUUUAUCAUGGCUAUUUACCGGUUUUGGUAAAUUUUCAGAAGAGGAAAUAGCGGUGAACAGGAUGUGCUUCAUGUGUGGAGUAGCUGAUGAAACUGUGAUGCAUGCCAUUAGAAAAUGCCCAUGUGCGGAUCAAAUCUGGGAAGCUAUGAACGGUGACCAGCUAAGCCAGAGAGGAACCGAUGAUAAUGCAGAAUGGGUGAAAAAAAUUUGCCUGUCAAGUAACCAAGAAACCCUUCAUACCUGUAUGAUAAUCGCAUGGGUGGUACGGAAUGAACGUAAUAACGUGUUGCAUGGGGAUACAAAGAGGAGCCUGAAUGAGAUGGUGGGGUUCUCCCAGAGAUACAUAGACGAAACUAAAGCCACACAGGUCACAAACGAUGGGGUCCAAAGCAUACAGCAGCGUUGGCAACCUCCAGAGGAAGAUAUAGUCAUGGUCAACUUUGAUAGGGCAGUGCAGAAGCAAUCGCAGAGAGAUGGGGCCGGAAUAGUGAUCCGAGAUUCCAUAGGUGCAGUUCUAGCUGUAGCAACCAUCCCAAUAUCAGCUAUAGGGGGACCCUUUCAUGUUGAAGCUGAAGCAGCUUUACUAGCAUUGGAGUUAGCAGCAGAGCUGGGUUUCACAAGAAUAAUCCUUGAAGGUGACGCACUAAGGAUUAUCAAAUCCAUUGCUGGGAGAUAAGCUGAACUAUCACGAGUGGGGACUAUAACAUAGGAUGCCAAACAGAAAAUGAAGCAAUUCUGUAUCUGUCAUGUCCAACAUAGGCCAAGAUCAUGUAACAAGGUAGCCCACUUAUUGGCAAACAGGAGUUUAGAGGAUCCAGAUAGAAACAUUUGGAUAGAGGAAUAUCCCACUUCUAUCUCUAACGUUGUACUGGAAGAUUGCAUUUCAGUUUAUGAAUGAAUGAACGAACCCUUUCUUUUCAAAAAAUAAUAAUAAUAAUAAUAAUAAUAAUAAUAAUUUCAAUUUAAAUUUUAUAGUUAUAAUUAAAAACUUCAAGAGUUGAUAAUUUUCAUAAAAUCAAUUCCUUAGAAUCAAAGCUAUGCAAGCCAAGGGAAUAUUAGAUAGCCUACACGUAGCAUGUUUUUGAAGUUGAGGCGUGUUUGAUAUUCUUUAUUCAUCCAUGGCAUAGUGAAGGAGAUGGGAUGGUGAGUGGUGCGACCUUAUUUCCAAAUAUCUUCUUCAACGUAAAUCGAUCAUAUUUCUCUCUUCUUUUUUUUUUUUAUAUGUUUGCUCUCAUCUUAUCUACUUACUUCCACAAUCAUUUAGAUUCCUAUCCAAGAAAUAAAAACAUGCUUUAAAAUACAAUAAAGCAAAAGAAGAGCUUUAGUCUUUGCAUUUGAACCCUCAAUUUCACCAAAUUAAAACUACUACUAUUUUUUUCUUACUUGUAUUUAAAUGAAAUUAUCCAUAUUACUGUUGAAAAAAAGGUUAACUAUAAGUUUGGUCCUUAAACUUUAAAAUUUUUUGUCACAUUAAUAUCUUAAAAAUUUUUCUAUUACGUUAGUACUUAACUUUCAUAUUGUUAUCACGUUAGUAUUUUCAGACUAACGCUAUUAGUUAAUUUUAUUAAUAUGACAUCAAUAUUCAAUAAGAUAUUAACACGUGUAAAAAAUAGUUUAGUCAAUACAACAUCAUUAUUGUCAUGUUAGUAUUAAAAAAAAUUUUUAAAAAUUUUAAAAUUUUCUAAAUUUUUUUUAAUUUUUUAAAAAUUUUAAAAAUUUCCAAAAAUUUUAAAAACUUCAAAAAAUUUUUCAAAACUUCAAAAAAUUCAAAACAAUUAAAAAAUUUUUUUUUAAAAUUUUAAAUUAUUUUUAAAUUUUAUUAAUUUAUUAAAAAAUAUUUAAUUUCAAAAAAUUAACAAAUUUUUCAAAAAAUAUUAAAAUUUCUUUACAAAAUUCUAAAUUUAUUUAAAUUCUAAAAAGUUUUAAAAAACUUUGAAAAAAAAAUUCUAAAAAUUAUUUUUAAAUUUACAAAAAAAUAUUUUUAUUUCACAACAAAUUAUAAAAAAUACUAAAAAGUUUUUUAAAAAUAUUCUAAAUUUUUUUAAAUUUAUAAAAAUUAUAAAAUUAAAUAUUUUAUAAAUUAUAAAUUAUCAUAAUUUGAAAAUUUUUAGAAAUUCAGANNNNNNNNNNNNNNNNNNNNNNNNNNNNNNNNNNNNNNNNNNNNNNNNNNNNNNNNNNNNNNNNNNNNNNNNNNNNNNNNNNNNNNNNNNNNNNNNNNNNNNNNNNNNNNNNNNNNNNNNNNNNNNNNNNNNNNNNNNNNNNNNNNNNNNNNNNNNNNNNNNNNNNNNNNNNNNNNNNNNNNNNNNNNNNNNNNNNNNNNNNNNNNNNNNNNNNNNNNNNNNNNNNNNNNNNNNNNNNNNNNNNNNNNNNNNNNNNNNNNNNNNNNNNNNNNNNNNNNNNNNNNNNNNNNNNNNNNNNNNNNNNNNNNNNNNNNNNNNNNNNNNNNNNNNNNNNNNNNNNNNNNNNNNNNNNNNNNNNNNNNNNNNNNNNNNNNNNNNNNNNNNNNNNNNNNNNNNNNNNNNNNNNNNNNNNNNNNNNNNNNNNNNNNNNNNNNNNNNNNNNNNNNNNNNNNNNNNNNNNNNNNNNNNNNNNNNNNNNNNNNNNNNNNNNNNNNNNNNNNNNNNNNNNNNNNNNNNNNNNNNNNNNNNNNNNNNNNNNNNNNNNNNNNNNNNNNNNNNNNNNNNNNNNNNNNNNNNNNNNNNNNNNNNNNNNNNNNNNNNNNNNNNNNNNNNNNNNNNNNNNNNNNNNNNNNNNNNNNNNNNNNNNNNNNNNNNNNNNNNNNNNNNNNNNNNNNNNNNNNNNNNNNNNNNNNNNNNNNNNNNNNNNNNNNNNNNNNNNNNNNNNNNNNNNNNNNNNNNNNNNNNNNNNNNNNNNNNNNNNNNNNNNNNNNNNNNNNNNNNNNNNNNNNNNNNNNNNNNNNNNNNNNNNNNNNNNNNNNNNNNNNNNNNNNNNNNNNNNNNNNNNNNNNNNNNNNNNNNNNNNNNNNNNNNNNNNNNNNNNNNNNNNNNNNNNNNNNNNNNNNNNNNNNNNNNNNNNNNNNNNNNNNNNNNNNNNNNNNNNNNNNNNNNNNNNNNNNNNNNNNNNNNNNNNNNNNNNNNNNNNNNNNNNNNNNNNNNNNNNUGCUCUCAUCUUAUCUACUUACUUCCACAAUCAUUUAUAUUCCUAUCCAAGAAAUAAAAACAUGCUUUAAAAUACAAUAAAGCAAAGAAGAGCUUUAGUCUUUGCAUUUGAACCUCAAUUUCACCAAAUUAAAACUACUACUAUUUUUUCUUACUUUUAUUUAAAUGAAAUUAUCCAUAUUACUGUUAAAAAAAGGUUAAAUAUAUGUUUAGUCCUUAAACUUUAAAAAAUUUUUGUCACAUUAGUAUCUUAAAAAUUUUUCUCGAGGACUGGGGCCCACUCACCACCGUUAUGCUAUUCAUCUAGCGUAUGUCAUUUCCAUUAAUCCUUUGCUUUUUGCUUUGGCCUUCGUCCUCCGCGGGUUCUCCAGCAAAUACUUUCCCUAAGUUUUUGUUUGACCUACGUGAUUAAUUUGCAUUGCAUGGCUCGGGUUACGUGUAAGUUUUUUCCAGUUGGUUUUUUUCCCAUUCACGUUUUUCCUCCCAAUUUCCUUACUAGAUACCUCUUCGUUUUCUCCUUUUGGCCUCCGUUUUGGCCGAUAGGUCAGUACCUUUGGGAAGCUAGUCAUGUCCGAAUUGCCAUCCUCACCAGCUGUCAUGAAUACAUCUGCUUGCUUGUUAAGAUUUUGGCCCACCACAGGUUCCACAAUCAUAUCAUCUUUCUUAGUUUCAGAAGGCUUUGUAGCCUUUUGAAAGAAGGCAAUUAAUGUGGAAGGCCCACCGCGUGUCUCAUGCCUAUUUUAUUAAAUGACAGCAUCUCUCCCUCAUUAUCCACAUGGUUUUGCACGGUAUCCCUCCUAGACUUUUGCUCCUGUCAUGGGAUUCUUGAAACUCCUUACUAGACUUUUGCUCUUUCGUCACUUGUUCCCCCUUUGUUCUGCCAUCCUUCCACGUAAGCUUCACCUUUUUGAUUCCUUCCUUCAUUUGCCACCCUCGUCUGGCCAACACCCUUGAAACUAGCAGAGUCGCCCCUUGCAUGUCUCCUUUUAAUGGUGAAGGUUUAUCUCGCUCCCAUCCACAGCACAAGCUUCCAUUUCACAAGCAGCAUCAAUGUGUCUAAUGAUGCCGCAUUUGUAGCAAAAGUUGAGAAGUCUUUAGUACCCUAGCCUUCCUACUAUAUCUGGGCCAUUCAUUCCUUGGAGUAUUAUUGCUCUCCGAAAUGGUUUGCGAAUGUCAACGAUAACUCUGAACCUUAGAAAUCUAGUCCAUCCGCUUCUCACUAGUCCUUCAUCUACCUCAAGCAAUUCACUUACUUUCUCCCCUAUGCAUUUACCAAUAUCCUGGCAUAUCAUUCCUUAUGGGAGUCCAUAGACUCUUACCCAAAAACUGGCUCUGUGAAACCUGUAAUCAAUAGGCAGAGUCGCGUCUUAUUGUCCUCCAUCGUCAAAAUAUGUUUGUUGAACGUCUACGAUGCCCCACUCAGAAUUGUACUCUUAUCUCCCUUCAUUGCAAAUUUGAAAAGGAAUAGGUUCUCUUCUAACUGAGAUAUCUCCACUUCUUUCGCUGAUCUCCUUACAAUCUUCAAAGUACUAAUGAAGGCAUCCUUAUUGAAGGAUCUUGACGUUAAAAGCUUAACCACUAUCCAACUCUCCUCGUCUGUUUCUACACAUUCUAGUAAUCAUUCAUCUGGUCGAACCCUAUCUAGCUUCUCUUCUGUGAAUGAUAAGUUUUUCCACAAAUCCUCUAACUCAUCCGCCAUACUCAGUCCACCUGCCGUACACUAAAAGUACUCAUAAUCUAAUGAAAAACUAGCCCCCAAAGACUUCAGAGAAGUGCUUGGGAGAAAACUCUUGCAAAGACCAAAACUGGACUCCUCCCAAAUCAGCAGACUCCCAUGCUUUUCAUAAACUUGUUUUUCUGUUCUGUUGGUCUCUGUUUCAAUAUUUUGAUGAAAUUUGCACAUGAAAAGAGGAUCAUUCCAUUGUGGGGGUUACCUGUUCUUUUUGUUGCUUUAAUUUGUCCAAUCCCUUUAUAUCAAUAAAUUUUUUUUCCUAUGGAGAAUUUGCUCAAGAAUUUCUUUGAUCUCUCAUAUGUGUUUUUUUAAUUGUGAUAUUCUAAAAGUAGUAUUCCAUUAGAAUAUAUAGACACAUGCAUGUUAUUCACUACCUUGUUUAUUUGUAAAUACUAACAUUAGCAAAUUAUUUUUUAUUUUGCUACAGAUUUUUUAAUUUUUUUUUAAUUAAUUUUUAAUGUAAAUCUAACCAAUGAAAGUGUGUGAAAAAUAGAAUCUACAGUAUAAGAUGUUGAUCCUCAUAAAAUUUCAAAGACAAAAUAUGAAAGAAAACUUAGCCUAUAAUCCGAAUCUUAAUAAGAAAUUAAAAGUGGUAAAUUUUAAAAAAUACAUAGCAUAAUAUAUCUAUAAAAGAAUAAGGAAAUAUACCUAUUCAAUUUUCAACGUACAAUUUACAUAUGAGAAAUAUACAAAUUUAACUUAAAUCAGUUAUUAAUGGAAAAAAUCAAUACAUAAAAAAUUGUUGAAAACAACUUAAAAAUAGAAAAGUAAAGUUAGAUUUAAGAAGUGUGAAUUUACUUAUAUGAAAUCUUGAAAGAAAAUUAAAAAAAAAAAAAACAUAUAUAAAUUUCAGCUUAAGUCACCUGAUCAAGCAAAAAUGCAAUGACGAAACUGUUGAAUUCGAUUUAAAACACAGAAAAAAAAACAGUAAACUUAAAUUUCGAGGAUUAAGAAUUUACGCAUUAAUAUAUGAAACACAAGUUUCAGAAAUCAAAAUGACUAAAUUUAAAAAAUGUGCUAUGCUAUGGCAUGGGGGUCUAUGACUUUAUAGUUUUGUUUCUUUUUUCUUUCCCUAGUUCUAAGCAAAUUAACUUACUAGUUGAUCCUAAAACGUCCUUGUAUUUGAUCCAUUGUCACUGCCUUCACGUGUAAAAAUUGUUUCAGUUUUUCUGAGGCACUUUUAUUUCUUUGUAGUUAGGGAAAGAAAACCAGUAGUCCAAGGCUUACUUUUUCCAUGGUAUAUAAUAGGUCUAAACUCAAAGCACUCAAUUUGUACAUUUUGAUAUUUUCUCCUUGAGUUUCCACCUUGGAAUCUUGGAAAAGUUGUUGUUUCUUUCAAUGGUGCUUGAAAAUGCUUCUUCUCCAAGUUUGCUUCCUUUAAAAUUACUCUUUCCCAAUAGCCAGUAGGUGUUCAAAUAACAAGAAAAAUAUUUUUUUGCCUUUUUCUUUUUAGUAUUAUCUAAACAAACAAUUUGCGUACAUCAGUUCUAAGCUGAAAAGCCUUCAGAAAAGUGAGCUGAAGUUUUCUUUCAAUGAGUUACACAUUACUUUAGUCACUUGUGAACAUAUUUAAGAAAAUUACAUCAUAGGAAACAAUCAGAUUCAUUCAUUUUCCAAUCACUAGCACUUUUUUACGAGCAAAUAUUUGUAUAUCCGAAAGAAAGGCAAUACAAAAUGUAACAAAGUUACAACUGCAAACCAUCGCAACGUAUAGGUAUGGGAAUCUGAUCGUUUAGAUGAAACAUUUUAAAAUCAAAACAUAAAGUCACCACUAAUAAUUUUUUUAUAGGUGUGAUUAGCAAUUUAAAAGGUUUAUUUUUUUAAUAAAACCAAAAACAGAUUUAAGGAUUACCAAAAAGAUAAUUUUGGUUUUUGAAAUCAAAGAUGGGUUUAAGAGUCGGUUAUGUGUAAGGGAAGAUUAGCAUUCCUCAACACCUAUUUCAAAAACAAUACCAAUUAAUUGUAUGUUAUCUUUAAUUUUGAAAAAAAAUAAUCAUAACUUUAAUAUUUAAAGAUAAUCCCUCGAAUUUCAUUUACUUUCACAAAUUUCCUUUUUUUUUAUUUUUUUAUUUAAAAAAUGCAACUCUUUUUCCUUUUGGAUUAAAAUAGAAACCUUUGGUAUUGAAACAUUUACUUAACUCUCUUAUAUUUAGGCGAAAUCUUAAAAACAUCCAUUUAUUUUAGGGUUUCUGUAAUAAUCCAUCAAAACGAAGAUAAUAUUCUUCAUAAAUAUCAUAACGUAUAAGUUCGUGAACUUGAUCACUUCACAUGGAGUCGCUACCAAUUUUUUUUUUUUGUUUAAAUGAGAUUGGUCACCUAAUUUAAUUUUGUCUCAUUUUUUUAAAAAAAGUUUCAAACUUGACUUAAUAAUAUUUUUAAAAGGUAGAUUCUAGUAUACAAAACUAAGCUAGGUUUGGGAGUAUAGUUACGUAUAAAGAAUGUUAUAGCACCCUUAUAACACCCAACAAAAGAUGGUACUAGCUAUUUUUGUGUUAUCCAUUUAAACAUAAAAAAUUUACACAUGUUGGAAAUUAUUCUCAAUUGACUCUAACAUUUUGAUAAAAAAUUAAGAGAAUUCUCUUAUCUUAAGAGUAUACAAGAAAAUAGUUAUUUAUAUUGCAAAAGCUUUGUCGUUGGAUCAUUUAACACUUAUUUUAUUUUUUAUGAAAUCUUAAAAAGAAUUUAAUUUUAGGAAAAAAAUUCAUAUUUCAAUUUUUCUCAAAAAUUUGAAAUUAUUUUAAAAGGAAAAUUUAUAUUUUAAUUCUUUCUUAAAACCUUUAAAAUUGUUUUCAUUUAAGGAAAGAUUGAUAUUUCAAUUUUUGCCUUAAAUUUUGAAUUUAUUUCCUUUAAGGAAAGAUUGAUAUUUUAACUCUUUCUUCUAAUUUUGAAAUUAUUUGUUAUAAGAAAAUUUUGAUAUUUUAACUUUUUCCUCAAAUGUUUAAAAUUUUUUGGGUUAAAUAAUGGAGUAUGAAAUUGGCCCUCAAAGGUUUCAGUCAAGCCCUUGAUUAUGGCUUGGCCAAACCUUUUUUAGUCUUUAAACCCUUAGUGUUUGAUCCAUUUUUACUAUGUUGUUGCAUACAUGUUUAAUUUGCGGUAUGUUUGUAAAUAUGCUUAGGUCUUGGUGUCAAUAUUCAUCCAUAUUUCAUGCAAUAAAGGUUGCAUUUUUAUUAAUGACAUUUUAGUUAUUUUGUUACAUGUGUUCACUAUGCAAACCCUACACCCUAAACAAAACCUUUAACCAUAAACUAAACUUCAAACCCUAAACUCUUAACCUAAACCAAACCCUAAAACAUAAAAUAAACCUUAAACUUUAAACCCUAAGCCACAUCCUAAACCCUAAACCCUUAACCUUAAACUAGCCCUUAAACCAUACCCUAAACCCUUAACCUUAAACUAAACCUCAAACCUUAAACCUUAAAUCUUAAUCCAAACCCCAAACCCUAAACCAUAAGCCCAAACUUAAUUAAACCCUAAGAAUCCAAACUAAUCUCUAAACCUUAAAACCAACACUUGACCCACUUCAUGCAUCUGCAUCUCAUUUUACUAAUUUGUUACCUACACUCUUAAAUUGUUAUGCAUUUACUUUUUGUCAUUCAUUUUUCACUAUCACACAUGUAUUAUAUAUUGUUGUUCUCAUGCAUACCAGUUUAUGUUUUGUAAAUGAAGUUUUUCAAGCAAAGUGUUUUAAGAUAAAAUAAUAUCUUAAAUAAAAAUAACAUUUGAGAUCUGACCUAAAUAUAAAAGAACUCUCAAUAAUUAUCAUUUAUGCAAGGUAUUAUUUUGGUUUUUUUGGGAUAAUUUAAAUGAUCCUAAGUUAGAGACAUUUUUAAGCUUUAGCUAAAUAUAUGAGGGUGGAACAAAUAUCUCAAACUUAGGACUUUUUCAUCUGAUCAAAAAUAAAUUAUUUUUGCGUUAAAAAAAUUAAAAAUGAUUUACAUUCAGAAGGAAAAUUUUAAAAAGAAAAAAGAUUCAAUUUUUGGAAUUAACAAGUAAAAGUAAAGAAUUAACCUAUAAACAUUAAAAUAGGACCAUUUUUACUACAACUAAUUGGUAUCAUUUUCAAUGGGUGCUAUGGUGGUGCUAAUACUUCAUCAUGCUUAACUGAUUUUCAAACUCAAUUUCGAUUUCACAAAUUGUAAAUGUUUUUUUAAUAAAUUUUAAACUUAUUUUAAAUGUUUUACUAAAAUGAUAAAAUUUUUUGGUGGUCACUGAUACCUUAAAGAAGAAUUAGUGGCGAGUCCUUGAUUUUGAUUUCUUUUGAAAAUGUUUUUUACUUCAUUUUUUUCCAAGUCCAAUGGUCAGAUUCUCGAACCCGCACAUCGUGACUAUUUAGCUACUCUACAAGGGACACAUUUUUAGAUAGUUGAGCUAAAAAAUUGAUUGUAUGUUAUCAUAAAUUUUGAUUUAAUGGUUCUAGUUAGUGUUUAAUCUUAAUUGCUUAAUUUUAAUUUUUUUAAUUUUCCUAAAGAAAAAAAUUUUAAAAAAUAAUAAUAAAAAAAUGUCUUGAUUUCAAUUUUCUUAAUUCAAAAAAAGCAUAAUAUUUGAAAAAAAAUCAACAUUUCAUAUACUUUAAUUAUGUUAUUUAGUUUAAAUUGUUGUUAUUUACUUUAUUCUUAAUAAUUUUGGGUCAUUUAGAAUAGGGAUAUUUUUUAAAAAUGUGAAAGGUAUGUAUGUUCCUUCAUAGACACUCAUAUUUGCAUUACAUACACAAGCUUUAUCCUUAGGCUCUAACCCUAUUUAAGAGGAAGUAAAGUAACUAUGCUUUCAUGAAAUGAACACCUUUUCAAUGGCUAGUGAAACAUUUUCACUCAAAUUAAACUUUUUUUACUUGUAGCCAGUAAUGAGUGAAGAUCGGUGUGUCUCAUUAGUCUAUGGUAGAUGAUAAUGUGAAAAGCAAUUUGGAAACCUUUAGAUGUGUCAAUUCUCGACCUAACAUAAUGAACUUUAGGGAGCCAGCCUUAGUUAGAGCUAUGCCAUACCCUCCUUAUAGAAAUUACCCUAAGUAACAUGAAAGAACGCUUCUUACCUUUCUCAUUUAAUUUUUUGAUAAUGUGUUUUUGUUGCUUUUAAUAAAAAAAAGAAAAAGAAAAUUGUUAGGAAUAGCAAAAGAACAAUAAUAAAAAAAGGUAGAAAAUAAAAUAAAAACAAAAACAAAAAAAAAAGAAUAAAAAGCAAAGAAAAAAGAAUGGAAAGAAAAAAAAUGAAUUGCUUGAAGAAGUUAAUUUAUUUUUUUGCAUUGCAUUUACAUUUUAAGCUUUCCUUUUACUAAUUUUUCUUUUUUUUUUUGUGUUUUCUUUUGUUUUGUUUGUUACAUACAUCAUUCUUAACAUAAACCACAGAGGUAUUCAUCUUAGGUAAUUUAUCAGUAAAAGUUGUCAUGACAUUCCAAGAAUCAUAAGUGGGGUUAUUGAUUAAUAAGUCAUUUUAGGACAUUAAGGAGCAGUUAAAAAAUAGACAGCUAAUAAAAGGAGAUUGUCUGAUGAAUGGGUAUGCUGCAAGUCUUUCAAAGUUUGUUCACUUGGAUUUGAGGCAAAAAGAUAUGAUGGAUUUAGAAGACAUUUGAAGUCAGUGGGAAUAAGAAAGGAAGACAACCUUCAUAGCCAAAUACGAAGACAUUGCCUUGCUGGUAAUGGUAAAGCCUAAUGAUCAAUUACUAAAUGUUGUGGUUAGUUUUUAAAAUCUUGAAUCAUGAUGCUUCACAUUUAAUAAAGAGGACUUAAUGUCCACCAUAAAGGAGUAUUUUGCCUUACUAUGCCUAGAUUUACCCAAGCCCAAUAGAAUGUAUUGGAAAACAUAUAAAUUGUCAAGAUAGAAAAAAUUGGCAAAGUUAAUUAGGGUCAAUGUUCAGGUGGAUGACAUGAAAAGAAGGGCUAGCAAAGGAAUACUAUAAACAUUGUUACAAGAUGUAGGCUCCAAAAUCCUAGGAAAAAUUGGGACUAUGGACAUCUUUGCUUUCGUAGUUUAUGGUUUAAUGAUUUUCCUGAAGGUUCUAAGGUAUAUAGAGGUUUCAAUGAUCGAUUUUUUCAUACAAUUGAAGCAAAAAAUUAAUCAUUCAUUAAUGAUUUUGGCAAAAACCAUUCGAUCAUUGAAUCAUUGUUGAAGAAAAUGAAAAUGAAGGAUGAUUGGUUGUAUCUAGCUAUUAUAUAUGUAGAUCAAAGCCAUUUUUAAGGUACCAAUUGAACUUUCUUUUUGGUUUAGACAAGUCCUUUUGCACCUCUUAUUAAGCUCAAUGCAAAAGAGUUCCUUCGAAAGUUUUUUAAGGAAUAGUGGAUAGUGUUUCUUAAGAGCUUAGAAAGGGAUACGGUGACUUAGAAGGCACCUUGGAUGCGUCAUGUCUCAAUUAUGCAUAGUUGUGGGAAUCAUCCUUCGGUCCUGUUGGUUGGAAUCUGAGGAGCCACUAGUUAUGUGUCGUUGAUGGUUUAGAUGUAUAGUUUUAAAUAUUUUAUUAAAAGUAUAAAAUUUUUUAUGGCCAAUCACACCUUAUAAAAUGAUUAGUGGUGACUCUUCGGUUUUAACUUCUUUUGAAAGUUUUUUUUUUUCAUUUUUCCCCAGGUCUAGCAGUCAAAUUCCUGGACCCGCACGUCGUAACAAAUAGUAAUUGUAACAAUUUAAACUUUUUCACAAUGAAAUCAUUACUAUAACUAUGUUCUUGUGACACAAUUAUUUGUUACUAUAGAAUCAUCAUAUAUAAUACGCACAAAUUGGUAGCAAGUAAUUUUUUGGCAAGAAGUAAUGUUCUUGUGGCAAUAUAUAAAGUGGUCACUAUUAUGAGACAUUGUUAUGACAAAAAAUAGUUUGUCACAUAACACUUUACUUUUUGUUUCGAAAAUUUUUGUCAUUAUUAAACAUAACAUAUUACUGUCGAUCAUAUGUCAUCACAAUUACAAGUUUAUCAUUGUGACAAUUGUAAUCAUCACUAUUGGAAAAUUAUAAUGACUAGAAAUUGGUUUGUCACAAUUUAUAUUGACAAAUUUAAGAAAUUAAAUUUUUUGAUUGCAACAAAAAUUUGUAUAUUAUUAAAUUAUUUUUUAUUACAAUAACAAUUGUAAAAGGUUUUUAAAUAUAAAUAUAUUCAAACUACUAAUAGUGAAAAUUCAUCACUAAUGUUAGCAUAUUAAUAUAUGUUUUCAAAACAUAAAAUAAAUACGACGAAAACAAAUAUGAAAGAACCUAAAAUAAUUUGAUUAAAUUUAAUUUUUAUCAAUAUUUCCAAUCUCACCUUAGGUUGAAGUGUAGUAUACAUCAACUGAAGGUUCAAAAGAGUUGCUUGUUUCUUUUCCUGCUAUGAGAACUGAAUUUCAUUCAGAAAACAAAAAGAAGGGUAGAGCCAGGGGUUUGAAAAGAUGUGACUGGUAACAAAAAUAAACACUUAAACUUUCUUAUGCAUACCUUUUGAAUAAUAUUUUAGUAAAUUACUUGUUUCAAUGGGCUGGUGUUUGAUUUUUUAAAGAAUUUAAUAGGUUCAUUUUAAACUUUAAAAAGGGCAAACCAAAGCUAAAAGUUUAACUAAAAAAGAAAAAUCCUCAAACGUGAAUCUAUCCUCUUGAAUUGCCAUAUAAAAGUUAGGGUUAGAGGAGAAUUUUUAACUAGGCAGCAAUUCAAUAUUUACGUAUUGACACACAAUAAAUAAAAGACAAAGAAGCACAAUAUAAAAUAAAAUAAAAUAAAACCUUAGUCAUCAAAAUUUGUUGAAAAAUAAUUCUUUUUGUUUCUAUCUUAGCAAGGAAGUAAGGAUCUCACAUGUACUAUUGUUCAAAUCUUUAUUCUAAGGUAAUUUUUUUACUUAAAAUCUUGUCUUUAUAUGAUAAAAUAUUCAUACUUUAGUUUUACUUUGAUUUAGAUAGUGGAUUAUUUUUCUAGGGAAUUGUAGUUUAUGAUUUUUUUUAUAGUUUAAAAUUAUAAGUUUUUUACUCAUUAAAUAAUUGAAAUAAGGGUAGGUGUGUGUUCAUUCUGUUGCAAGGAUUUAGGAGGGCCAAAUCAGAAUUUGAAGUCUUUGUUUUAUGAUUAUGUUAUUUCAGUAUUUUGGAUGAUUUGUAUAGAAAUAGUUUUUAUUUGUUCUUUACUUGGUUUUAAAAAUAAUAAAUUUAUUUUUGAUACCCUUGUUUAUAUUAACUUUGUUUUUUGAUACCAUUGUUUAUUUAUUUAUCUCAAGUAAAUUAAAUUUAGAAUUGUUGAGGGAUAUUGUAGAACUUUUGAAUUUUAUGAAUUAUGAUUAUGAUUAUGAUUUGUAAUUGAAAUUUUAAUUAGUUUUCAAGAACAAAAUGGUUAAUAUUUUACGAUGCAAGUCUUUGGGAAAUUCAAAUUAUGCACAACAUGAAACUCUUCACAUUGUAAAUGAGUCUCAAGUUGCCCACAUAAGUAAUCAAUUGCCUAAUAAUCUACUUAAGAAUUCAAAUAUCAAGAUAAGUCUAGAAGGACAAGUUUUUGCUUCCAUAGGUUAUGUGACUUUGAAAAAUAUAUGUAGCAAUAUUUUAAUUAAGUUUAGUGAUAAAUAUGAUUGUAUAUAACGUAAUAUGUUUCUACUUGUAAAUUUUUUUAAUAGGUAAUGGAACUUCUAAUAAAAAAGGAAGGGGACCAAUGAAAAAUACAAAAUUGACCAAAAAGAAAGCCAAAGGUAAAAAACUUGCUAUCCAAUUUCCUCUUUCGUACUAUAAAGUAUGUGGUAAGGAUGCCAAUAUCUUUAAGGCAAAAGUAACAAAUUGUAUUCUGGAAAAUGUACCUCUUUAAGUCACUAAUUGAAAAAAAAUUCCUCAAAAUGAUAUUAAGAUAAUAUGGAUCUUUUUAAAGAUAUGUUCUUUUACAAAUACAAAAUUUAAUAUGAUAAACAGUUGGCUAGUUUUUGUGAACUUGUUUCCUUUAUAUAUAGAUAUUUUGCAUUUUAUGGUUCAUAUAGGUAAAUAAAUCCAAAUAAGCUCCAUAUAGUUUUUUAUUAUGUUUUCAAUACUAUAUUAUCCUAAAUUUUUUAUUUGAAUUGUAAAACAAGUUUACCUUUUUUGAUGAUACAUAUCCCUAUGAAAUGAAACAUAUGAAAUGAAACAAGUGCAAGCUCAAUAUAAGAAUUGCCAUUAUCAUUUCUACCAAAGCUAUCUCAAAAGCAAUAAUUGUCCAAUUGAUGUGGAUCCAAAUGAUUGGCAAUGGCUAAUCACUAAUAAAUGGACUACAAAUUUAAUAUAUUUUUUUAUUUAUGCUAUAAAAAUAUUUUUUUAUCAUAAUGUAGGCCCAAAGUGAAAGAAACACAGCUAACACUGCAUGAAAAUGGAGAUUUAGUGAUUACUUUUUAGCGACAUUUUUAAAUAAAUGCUACAAAGUUUCGUGUUUUUAUAAGGUUAACGGCAUUUUUUUAUAAAACACAACUAAAUUCUUAUAUAGCGGCAUUUGAAUUUCAAAACACCACUAAAAAUAAAAUUUUAUGGCAUUUGUUGACCUAAAAGCCGCUAUAUACUUUGAUUUUUAUAAAUUUGGUAGCAUUUACAUAAACGCAACCAAAAACAAAAUAUUUUUUGGGGUUAUUGAAGGCGUUUCUGCUAAAAAUACCUUGAAUAAUCUCAAAAAAAGGAGGGGAUUAUUGAAGGCAUUUUUCGUCAAAAACUCCUUGAAUAAUUCCCUUCAAUAAACACCAUGAAUAACUCCAUUCAACUUUUUGUAAUAGAUUAUUCAAGGUAUUUUCUAAAAAUACCUCAAAUAAUCCCAAAAAAAAAUUGAAAAGGAUUAUUGAAGGAGUUUUUGGCCAAAAACACCUUGAAUAAUCUCAUUCAAUUUUUUGAAAGGGAUUAUUCAAUGCGCUUUUGGCCAGAAAUACCUUGAAUAACUCCAUUCAAUUAUUUGUAAGAGAUUCUUAAAAACAUUUUCUAAAACGCCUUGAAUAAUCCCUAAAUAAAAUUAGAGAGGAUUAUUGAAGGUGGUUUUAGUAAAAACUACCUUGAAUAAUCCCUUUCAAUUUUUUUAAUUAAAGGAGAUUAUGCAAGGUAUUUUUGACCAAAAAUACCUUGAAUAAUCUAAAAAAAAAAAUAGAAGGGAUUAUUAUAGUCUUAUGAGGUAUCAUCCCAUAAAACCUUAUAACUCUCUUACACAUUUUUCUCAUAUCUAACCCUAUAGAGACUUCAUCUAUUUAUAAACAUACAAACUUGCCUAUUAAGAAUAAUUUUUCUUUAGAAUUCUUCUUAUGCAAGUCAAACUUACCUAUUUAAGAAUAUUUUUUUCUUACAAUUCUUCUUUUACCAGGCUUCUUUUUUAUCAAGCAAUAUCUAACUAAUCACAAACAAAUCUCUUAUGGGAUUUGAGUCAUUAUUCUUAACAAUCUUUACCUUGACUCAAAUUCCAUCAAAUUAUCUGUCUUUGUACUAAUAUAUGUGGCUCCACCUAUAAUAGAAGUCUCACAAUCUUCUCUUAUGUGUCUUCACGCUUCAUGCAAACUGAUACUCAAUCAUCAAAACUUGAACGUGAACUCUUUUCUUGAAACAAGGUCCUCUAGGCUUGCCUCUUUCCAUGACUCGAACCUUUAGUUCUAAUACCACUUGUUAGACUAAAAAGCCCUAAUCUAAUCACACCAGCGGAAGCGAAAUCAAUCAAUUAAUCACAUAAAAAUAAUAAUUUAACGUGGUUCGAUCCAAUCGACCUAUGUCCAUGGAUGAAAAACAAGAUCUAUUAGUUAUAGAGAAUUACAAACUUACAUCCAUAUUAAGCAUUCACAAUUAAUACUUUUAGACUCUCUCAAUCUCCUCUAAUUCUAUGGAGUAUUCUUAAUCUAAAUAAAUACAUACCCAUAUGCACCCAUGCACCAUACCUAUGUGAACCCUUUCAGUUUUCUCUAGUCCACUCACAAACAUUCACACCACCAUACCUAUGUAAACUAUCUCAUUCUUUUCUAGUCCACUCAAACAUAUACACCUAUAAGGACGUUAAAUCCCUAAUAGUCCUAUAGGGUGUCUAUCUCAUAAAAUCUUACAACUUUCUUAAAUCUUUUUCUCAUACCUAACUCUCUAGAGACUUCAUCUAUUUAUAAGCAUACAAACUUGCUUAUUAAAAAUUUUUUUCUUUUAGAAUUUUUCUUUUGUAAGUCAAACUUACCAAUUAAGAAUCUCUUUUCUCUUAGAAGUCUUCUUCUGUAACUCUUUUUUUUAUCAAGUAAUAUCUAACAAAUCUCAAAUAAAUCUUUUAUGGGAUUUAAGUUACUAUUCCUAAUAGAAAAAAAAAAACUCAUCUAAAAAUGUCUGAGGAAUGGUUAAAAUAUGGUGAAUUGACAAAAAUUUAAGUAAUGGAUGACAGAUUUGGGUUCAGAGUGAACAAGUAGAUUAAAGAAAAAAUAAAUUAAAAGCAAAAGUAACAUGUUGCUUAUACUUUUAUUUUAUGAAAAAUGUCAUAUGAUAGAUAUUGAUUAAUAUCUAUAAUUAUUGUCUCAUACAAUUGGGCCCAGCAAUAACUUUUAUUUGAGCAGCCUUGCUUUAACAAAUAAAAGUAACUAUGCUUUCCAAAGAAUAUAAUUAAGACAGCUAGAUGAUGCCCAAUGUCAUGUUCCUGUGGGAGUGGUGAAUUAAUCUAAUAUUGUAUAUUAAAGUUUUGCUAGGUAUACAAGAGUCUAUUUAGAAGGAUUAUGACUUAAUUUUUGUGAGAAUGAAAAUAAUAAUGAAAGUGAAAUUAGUUACUAUAAUAGAUUAAAAUUAAUAGUAGAAUAUGUUUGGAUGUAAAAGUGAUGAUGAUAGUAGAAUGAAUUAUAAUAAAAAGGAAAAUGAAUAUUAAAAUUAUUAAAUUAAAAUUUUAUAUAAUAAAAAUUUUAAUUAUUUAAUAUUUAUAAAAUUAAUAAAUUAUUAUAAGUUAUUAAAUUAUUUCUAUGUUAAACAUUUUUGUUAAUAAAUAAUUAAGAAUUAAUAAAUUUAUCUUGUAAAAAAAUCGUUUGAAAACUUUUAAAUAAAAAAAUAAAAAAUAAAAAAUGGACAAGUGUUGAAAAAUAAAACAAAGGGAGGAUUAUUAAAAGAGGAAGAACUUUGUGAUUGAGCUUCACAAAUUUUCACUGGACCCAUAAGGGUCUCAGUGUGUAAUCAGUGUUACGGAACGGUGGAACGCUUAAAUCAAAUCAAAUCAAAUCUCAAUUAUUCAGGACUGUGAAAACUUCCUCUGCUCUGCUACCAUGACCCUAGACAUGCCAUUCACCCCAAAAAGUCCAUUUCUGCUCCAUGGAGUAAAAAUUGCUGUUAGACAAACUUUUGCUAUUUUGAAGAUUUUCAUCUAUAACAAAAAUUGAUAAGUUAAUUCACAGGUAGUCAAAAAAUUGAAAAAUAGCUGGAAACCAUAUAAAAAUAACUGAAACUUCGAAACAUCAUAUAUUUUACUAAUAUAGUGAAUAAAAGAAAGAAACAUUAAUUGGCUUCAUAUAUUUCAUUCAAUUACUUCAUCAUUUAGAAGAUCGAAAUGUUCAAGAGAUUAUAUAUAUAAUAAUCUUUGACAUUCUUUCUUGAUUAGUCAUCUCCUUGAAUAUAUAUUAUUACUACUGAGUACUGACAUAGUACUGCUAGCAUUCCAGGGGGGCAUGUCCAGUACCCUUGCCAAUGGUGGCUAGCUAGGUGUAUAUACUAUAAAUACUCUCCGAAAAAGCUAAGAGCGAAUCCGAAGUGGAUCGUCUUGCUGUGCUGGUAUAGGUAGGUGACCUUUCUCUUGCAAGCUCUUGACUGUUUCAUAUAGGCACUGCUUCACAGGUGUGAACUCCAAACCCAAGUCCUUGAGCUUUUGGUUUGAGAACUUGUAGGGUUUUGCUCUUGGGUUCCUCUCAUCUGAGCACCUGCAUUAUCAAAUACCAGGAUUACAGCAUCUUAUUUUCCAUAAUUGGAUGAAAAUGUAGAUUGAAAACAACAAGGUACUUUCAUGAAAAAUGCACAUCAAUAUGUGGAAGAAAUGUGAAUUAUUUAAUUUUUUUGCUUUUUUUUCUGCCACUUCCCAUUGUUAGGAUUAUUUGGUUUGAUUUGUUAGGAGUCACGUGUUUUUCAGCUACCCUUCCAUUUAUCCCAGUUCAAAGACAAAAGCCUAGAUCUAUUUAAUUAUAGAAUAAGUAUGAAAUUCUCAAACACCAAUCCUCAUAGGAGGGGUAGGAGGGACCCAUUUUUGUCCUAGCUGCAGCCUCAGAAUUCAGAAAGCUCCAUGUUUGUAAUUCAGCUGGUGGGUAGAAUAGAAUAUCCAUUUAACCCAACUCUUUUGAUAAUUUGACAGACAUGGGGGUAGGUGAAAACCCUUCUCCACCACUAUUUUUAUUAACUUCCAAGACAUAAUCGCUUUCACCAAAAAUCCACUUCUUAUCCGAGUAGUGGGUAAAGAUUAUGCCAUUUGUCAAAGCUGCUGCAACCGACUGCACAAGAAACUGAAAAUUUUCCAUUACAUUUUCAUGGACUAGAUUAUUAAUUGAUCUUUAUAGAAGAGGGACAUCAGUUUCUUCCUGUCAUUAUCAUCGAACAGCAAGGUUGACGUUUACAAAUCAACAAGUUAUGGAUUAUCUGCAAAGCCCUCGCUUUGAAGUGUGGCUGAGGGUAAGGUCUUAGUUUUAUUUCCAAUGUCAGGUAAAGAUUACCAAGCAAAAAUACGUCUUGGUUUUCAAACAAUUGACAAUUCAAAUUAGCCAAUUAAUUAAUACAAUGAAUGAGACAUCCAUUCUCAUUUUCCAAAACGUGUCCCAUCUUUAAAAUUAAACUUUCUAACCAGCACGGCAAAAUUUUAUUUCCUAAUAUUUUUAUACAAAAAGCUGUGAUCUGAUAAUAAAAAAAGAUUGUAAGUGUUGAAAUUUGAUAUUUAGAUUUGUUAGAUACAAUUUUUUAAAAUUAACAGCAAGAAUCAACUUAUGUAAAUUCUGAAUUCAAAUACUUGACAUUUUAGUAGGUCAAAGAGUGUGGAAAUAGACGAGUUCUUCUCCACCUAUAUAAUUCUUGAUGGAAAGUAAUGGAAUUGGGUGCAAACUAACAGAAAAAUAACAGCUAGCUGGACUGCAUUUUGAUGUUGUUUCACUUUCUUAAUUACUUCAACUCAAAUAUUAUCCUGUUCUUCCACUAAUAUUUUAUGCCAUGUAAAUCUCAAGGUGGACCCUAUUAUUUCAUUGUUUUAUGAACAAAAUCUUUGAUAAAUCCUGAUUAUGCCUUAUUUUUCUUAUGUUUCAAUGACUAGAAUGAUAAAAUAAUGUAUAAAACCUUUUUAAGUUUGUUAUGAUGUUAACCCAAUUUGCCAAUUGAAGAGAAAAUUGAAAGAGCUGAGUUAAGUGUUGACCAUUUUGUGAAGUUCAUAUGGUAAAAACAAUGUAGAUAAGUAAUUAGCAGUAAAAAACUUACCUGGUAGGGAUGGGAUACUCAGGCAAGAACUUGGCUAGGAUCUCUACCACCUCUCCACGGUGGAGAACGCUCUCGGCGCAGAGGUAUCGGCCUGAGGCAGAGGGAUUCUCAAAGACAAGAAUGUGCGCUAAGGCAACAUCUCUAACAUGAACAUAGGCUUGAACUGAAUUGGCAUAGGUCUUU